rnacentral:lncRNA from 1 species
UGGGGAUGGUGGAGCCGACGGGGGCCAUGAAGAAGGUGAUGCCGUCAGCGGUGAGGUUGGUGGGGCUGGGUGUGAUUAUGAAGUUUACGGUGGUUUCAAAGUCGACUUGGCCGCCGGCUUGGGAGAACUGGACCGGGUUCGAGUGCAAGACCCGGCCGACACUGCCUAUCGUCGGGAAGGUGAGGCGGAGGAAGGGGGAGUUCCAUACGAAAUGGGCGUGGCCUUGGUAGGUGAGAUCGGUCGGCAAGUCACUCCAGAAGUCGUAGGUGAAGGACGUCGAUUGGGACUGCGCAGUGUUGGCGGCAGCGGCGAGGAGGAGGAUGAUGGAGGAGAGGAGAGGAAUUAGGGUUUGGAGGAGCUUAGCCAUGGCUUAAUUGAGUAUAUUUAGAUGUGGUGGAUGAUGGUGGUAUCUCUUGCUCCUAUUUAUAGUGAAUAGUGUAUAGUGUAUAGAGUAUAGUGUAUAUAUGCAUGAUAUUAUGAUUUAAUUGCCUAUGAAUUAUUAAACUUUCAUCAAAUUCUUAUUUUAUAUAUAAACUUCAAAUUAAAUGUAGCGUGAUAAUCACUAAAUUUAUUUAAUCUUAUAUUUGCUACCAAUCAGGAUUCUAGCCAAAUUUACUAUUGACAUUACAAAGUCGAGGAUAUCCUAAGAUGGAUUGAAACAUUAAGAUAUUCCAAGGAUCUUAAUAAUUUCUAUCAUUUGGCAUAAUUUUAUUUGAUUCAUAUCUCAUUGAAAGAAUAUGAUUUUUAUCCCCUCCGUUCACAAAGAUUGUAUGGUGAACUCAGGACAUGAGUUUUAAUAAAUACUUCUUCCGUCCCCAAAAUAACUUUCUAUGAGAGAGGGGCACGAGUUUUAAGAUAAAAUUGUUGAGUGUAUUCGAAGUGGUUAAAAAGUGUUAGUAUUGAAAGUGAUGAAAAUGUGUUAUAAUUAGUAUUUGAAGUGGUGAAAAGGUAAAAAAAUAGAGUAAAUAUAUGGAGUAUAUAUUAGUAGAAAGUGUAGAAAGAUCCACCAAAAUUGAGUGGAGAAAAAGAUCCACUAAAAUUGAUGUGUUAAAUGGUUGAAUAUUUUGUAAAUAUUGAAUGUGAAUGAUGUUUAAAAUGUAAGGGGCGUAGUUUCUAAAUAAAGAAAGCAUACAAUCUUUAUGGACAGACGAAAAUAAUAAUAAACAUACAAUCUUUGUGGAUUGAGGGAGUGAUAAACAUUUCAUUCAUUUAUUGUGGUUUGGAAUCGAUCUUUAUCAACAUUACAUGCAUUCACAAAUAUGAAGAAGGAUUUAAAACGUGUGACACCUUAUUUUAUAUUUAAAAUCGCAAUCACGAAGAGGACCACACUUAUCCUCUAAUCAAUGCUCUCCAUUAUUUUAUAGGAAAGGAUAAACAUGAUUCUUGGUUUAUUUAUGCUUUUAAUAUAUACAAUUAGAUGAUUUUUGGGGCAAAAAGUGAAGAUUUUGAUGUCCGACGGAGUCAAGUAAAGAAGUUGAAAAAAUCGAUUUUUGAUGCAAUUUUAGAAGAUCCAAAGAUGAUAAGAUCUGUGCUUGAGGGAACUUAUUUUGCAUAAGAAAGACUUUCAUUAAUUUCUUAAUUCGAGUAUAAAAUUAGAGGAUUAAAACCACAACUAAUGUUCCUUUGGCUUUUCCUUGAACAAUGUUGGGUAGCUAGUGAAUUUUCUUUGGUAAGUUCGUCCUUUUCUUUGACAAUGAGAAUUGACGUAAAUUGGAUUGUAUUGAAGAUUCUAGUAACAUUAUUCUAGUUUAUAUUUCAUGAUUUAAGGGCUGAAAAUAUGUAAGUAUGUUAAAGGCUAAAUUUUAGGUAAAUAAGUGCUCCAUACUUUGUUAAUAUGCCACUUUACAAAUAAUGUAUGUGUGAACUUGAAUUUGUUUUUUCAUUUAAAGAGAACUAAUAAUGAUAUCCAUUUCCCCCGUGAUGAUUCGAACCCCCAACUUAACAAUUACUGGUGAAACGUUUUAUCCAUGUGAUGACUCUAACCCCCCAAUUUAUAAUUAAUGAUUGGAUGGGAAGCGUAUUGAGGUUGUUAGUGAUUCUUCCAAGGUUAUUUUGUAACUAUGAACUAUCGAUUUUGUAUCAAUUGUACCCUGCAUUUGUUUUUUAGCUAGAGAAAAUAUGAGAAAAGAAAUGAGACAUUUAAAGGCAUAAAUUUUUGUUAUCCCUCAUUUUCUCAUCCAUCAAAGUGAACGCACCCUUAAAUGAUGAUUUGAAAAAAUAAAGUGAUUGUUUCUACGCUAAACCUAAUUGCGUUCGGCCUUUUUCGUUAUUUUAGUAUUUUCCUCAUUUAUUUUCAAUUCUGUUUCCUAUAUAUGGAUAUUUGAUGUAUGAGAAGAUGCUUUCAUAUGAUCCAUUUCAGAAAUAAAAUUAUUUAUUUUCUUUCUCACGAAGAGCGCUCACUUUGACAUCAGUAUCGCAUGAGCUGCACAUAAUUAAUGAAAGAAAAUAAGCAUACACUUGCAUUAUAUAAGAAGAGCAUAUAUACUCGCAGCCGUUUCUCAUAAAUUUCACGCAGUUUUUCGAUCUUUAGAGCCGCCGGCAUGCUCGGCCGAUCUGAAGCUCCAGUAGUCGAUAUCGUGAAGGGCGACGAGGUCGCCGGUGGAGGAGGCGAUUCCGACCUGAACCUGCGACGGAAGAAUUUCCCCCAAAUCAUACUCGUAUUCGAGAAGGCGAGUUUCUUUGUCGCAUUUGAGCGUAACGUCGAUGAAAUUGAUGCCGUCGUAUUGUAUGUGCAGCUGCGCCUCUUUCCCGAUGCACGAAUCGCCAAAUUUCACGAAGUUGCUCGACUUUAUCGAGCUGAUGUCGAUGCCGAUGUGCGGGAGAUCGUGGCUCGGAUCCCAACCGUUGGAGUAGAGGUCGAAUUCCACGGCAAAGAAGGCGGAGGCGGCCGGGCUAUCCCCCGAGGGGUUGAAUAGGCCUAGAUUGCCUCCGUAGGAACCCGGGGGGAUGGUGGUCCCCACGGGCGCCAUGAAGAAGGCGAUGCCGUCCGCGGCCGGGCCUUUUGUGGGGGUGAUGGUGAAUUUUAUGGUGGUAUUGAAAGAUACUACAAUUGAAUUUUCCCACAAUUUGAAGGGUUUGGAGUACAAUACGCGGCCGAUGCUCGACGGCCGUGGAAGGCCGUUGGCGUCGGUCUUGGUUAGCCGGAGGGAACGGGCGCCGUCGGGGACGUGGGCGUCGCCCUGGUAGGUUAGGUCGGUGGAGUUGGCGACGAAGGAGGUGAAGGUGAAGGAGGUCUUUUGUGAGGUCGCCUUGUUUGCUAGCAUUAGGAAAAAUGCUAUGCAAAAGAGGAGAAGAAUUAGGGUUUGUAGAAGCUUGGCCAUGGCUUGAUUUGAUGGGUGGAGUAUUAUUUGGAUGUAGUGAAUAGUGGUUGGCUCUCUAGCCCUAUUUAUAUUGGUUUAAUGCCACAUUCCAUUAUUAGUUUAAUAUAUUGUAGCUCACUAUUUUUUUUGAACUUUAUGGAGAAGGCAUGAGUUUUUUAAAAAAAUUGAGAAAUGUGUAUAAAAUGAAUAAAGAGGCUCACUAAAGUUGAUUUGGCAGGUAUUAAUAAAUUAUUUGUGUGAUGAGUUUUUUGUAAAUAUUGUGUGUGAAUGAGGGUAAAAUAUAAAGGUACAUAUGUCUUAAAAGGGACGGAAAUGACAAAUACUUAUUGUGGAUAAAGGUAGUAUAAUAUACGGAGUGUAUACUUAAGUUUAUCAAUUUUAUUACUAAAUUAAAUAUGGUUAAUUUAAUAUCAAUAUGCUUAUUAGUAAUUAGUAUUACUCCAUUCAUCCCAAAAACAUCAAUCUUUACUUAUUUUUUCGUUCGUCUCCAAAACAUCUUCCUAAUCUAUUUUUAUGUCCUGUAUUAAAUUUUCAAGCUAGUUUCACUCCCCAACUAUCGUUUAAAUUAUACAUACAUAUAUGGACGACUUGAAAAUUUGUUAAGGCAAUUGAUUAUGCCCAUGCCGUAUAGAAUCAAAAACCAUUCCUAAACAAAAAAUAGAAUAAUUAAGAAAAUAAUCUAGAAUAUAAAUAUAGAACUUAAAUUCUUUGCCACAAAUUUAAGUCAAUCAGCCGACAUAGUAAAUGUAUGUGUUUACAAGUAAUCAUGCCUUGUCUUGAGAUUCAAGUUGGCAAUUGAAGCAAAAUUUCUCACACAUAGCUAUCUACUCUAGCUAUGAAAUCAUGCAUUGUCUUGAGAUUUAAUUUGGCCCAUGAAUCCAAAUUUUGCAAUCAUGCCAUGUCUUAAGAUUCAAUUUGGCCCAUGAAACUAAAUUUCUUGAGCCUAUCUCUAACCUCUUUGAUAUUCAUAUAUAAUAACACCUUUAAAACACACACAACCCACUUCUAAAGUUCUACAUGUAUACACACGAACUCAUGCUUAUGUCACAAAUUAAGUUUUUCAAAAAUAAACUUUUCCCUAUUUGAAUUCCUUAUGUAUUCAGUUUGUUUUUAAUAUUUAAACUAUGUUAUUACAACAAAAUUAUCUAGCAGGGACAUGAUUUUAGCAACAUAAAAAAAGAUGUCAUAAAUUUCUUACUCCCUCCGUCCUCCGAAGCUUGAUCAACAAUUUCUUUUCGGCACGGAGUUUAAGGAGUUAAUAUUUUGUAUGUUAAUUAGUGUGGUAGGUGAAAAAAUGAAAAGAUGAAUAACGGGAAAAGUUGUUGCCAUAUAAGGAAAGUGAUCAAGCUUCGCGGAUAACCCAAAAAUGAAUACUGCUCAAGAUUCGCUGGAAGAAUGAAGUACAAUUUUAGGCAUAACAAAAAUUUAUUUACAUCCACACAUGCAUGCACCGAUACUUUAUCACAUGCAAAAUUACAAGUAACUUUGCUAAUUACAAAAAUUAAUACAUGAACCCUCAAAUGUCACUAGAUGUAAUGAUAUUUUUAUAUUUUUUCGACACACAUAAUAGUUACUCAUCACAAAAUAUCAAUAUUUUUAUCAUAUAGUGAUAUUUAUAAGUUUCACAAUUUUUCAAAUAUUAUGUCAAUGCUAGCUUAGACAUUUUGUUUUGACACUUUGUAUUGAAACAUGUUUUUUACAAAAAUAAAAUAAUUGAAUUUAUUAACGAAUAUUUAAACAAUCAAUCAAUAAUAACUACAAAGUGAAGCAAUUCAAGUUAAAAGGUAAAUUCUAAAUUUAAAUUUGAAAAACAAGAAAAUUCGAGCCUUAAUUUUUUUUAUUUUUUUAUAUACGCACUACAAAUCUCCCAUAAAUCUUAAAUCAAAAUUUAACCUUACAACAAAAAAUAAAUAUAUAAACUAAAAUGGAGUAUGAUAAUAUAGUUUUAUCAAAUUAUUUGAUAAUUCUAUUAAUAAAAGAUAAAAAAAAAAAUAAGGGGGGCCCACGGGCAUGCUGCCCCCAUAUGCUAUGGACCAUGGUGGCUAGGUCACUGCGCUCUCGAGAUCUACACUAUUUAUACGUGGUAUUCAUUGCGAAUUAUUUUGCAUUAUCUUUGUUUAUUUUUCUUAUAUUGGGAAAGAAAACAUGAGUAAUAUAUAGUAAUCUUUUAGAAGUCCAGUUACCAAUGUCGUCAAAAUUAUCUUGUCUAUUUUUAGAAGUUCAGAUAAACAUGCAACACAUUUUCAGAAGAAAUUUAAUAAUCUCUUACGAUUUACAUUUAUUUUUUAAAUAAUUAUCUCAGUGGUGAUAAAAUAAAAAAAUCGACUACAUUUUUCUAAGUAAUUUAUUAGAUACAAAAUAUUAUGAUUUAUGUUUGUAUAUUUUUUGUUUCCCAUUAGUGCAUUAUCAUUUCUAAGUAUCUUCUCACUUGUUCACUGAUUCACUAUUGGAUUAACAUGAAUAUACGAAUUUCAUAGUAUACCAACUGUUCGAUAAAAGUCCUAAAAGAAAUCUUCCAUAGAUAACCUUGCAAAUAACAGGAAACUAAAAUUACUCCCAAAGCAUUCCAUACAUAGAGAUGCGGAUUACCUUAUUCGUAGACUUAACGAGAGUACACUCGAUCGCUAGUCCUUAUUUACGACCCAAACUACACAUACAUUACAAAAUCACACAACUUGACGAAUGUUUCCACCGAGCUCCUUCCUGCUCUUGGCAGCGACGCCGACGUUUUGCACCAUGGUGGCCGUGAAAUACCACGCCACGAUGUCGUGUCUGGCGACGACUUGCCCCGUGGAGGCGGAGAGCCCGACUUGGACCUGCUCAGGAAGGAAGCCGCUCAAAUCGUACACAUAGCUGACCUCGAACGCUUUCGAGCCGGCGGUGACGUGGACGUCGAUCAUCUUCGUGGCGGCGGCGUAGUUGAUCCUUGCCGUCACCUGCUGCCCGAUUAUGGAGCCGUCGACCUCCGUCGUGUUGCCGGAUGACCUAGAGCCGAUGUCGAUGCCGAUGUGGGGAUAGUUCGGAUCCCACGCGCCGUUGACGUAGGUGUCGAACUCGACGGCGAAGACCGAGGGGCUGCUGCCGGAGGAGCCGAAGAUUCCGAGGUUGGAUCCGCUAGAGGAGGAAGGGAUGGUGGACCCGACGGGGGCGAUGAAGAAGGCGAGGCCGUCGGCGGCAGAGUUGCCGGGGCCAGGUGUGAUGAUGAAGUUUACGGUGGUUUCAAAGUCGACUUGGCCGCCGGUUUGUGAGAACUGGACCGGGUUCGAGUACAAUACCCGGCCAACUUUGGCGGUCUGUGCGUCGGUGAGGCGGAGGAAGGUGGAGUCCGACGGGAAAUGGGCGUCGCCUUGGUAGGUGAGGUCGGUCGGCUGGUCGCCCCAGAAGUCGUAGGUGAAGGACGUCGAUUGGGACUGCGCCACGUUGGCGGCGGCGAGGAGUAGGGCGACGGAGGAGAGGAGAGGAAUUAGGGUUUGGAGAAGCUUGGCCAUUGCUUAAUUGAUUUGGAUGUGGUGGAUGAUGGUGAUAUGUCUUAAGCUUGCACUCCUAUAUAUACUAGUGUAGUUCAUGCAUGAUAAUGUUGUUUAAUCAUCAUAUAUUUUAUUUCAUUAAAAUGAAUCACCUCGUCCAUUCGAGGUAAAUGAACCAUGUGAUCUUAUGUACUACCAGCCACAUUUUAAUUUGCUCGUUGGAAUAUUAUCUAUAGUUGUAUCUAUUGUAUUUGUAUAAAUGAUUUUUGGAAGGGAACUUAGAAAAAGUUCUUGAUAGGGGCUGUAUUUUUUAAUUUCAAGUGCAAAAUUAAGUUUUGAUAGACAAUUUACUUAUGAUUCAAUUUAACGAUCGGGUUUUCUGAAAAAAAAAAAUUCACACAAAAAAUCGAUUAUUUAAUAAUUUUAUAAGAAAAAAGAAGAAGAAGAAAUUUUCUAUUUAGGAUAUACACGAGCAGAUGAGAUCCUCUGUCCCACUAUUUUGUGUGUACCACCAUGUACCAUUCUUAAUUUAUUUAUUUUAGUAAUUAUUUUUUAUAAAAAUAAAAAUUAUUAUUAUAUUUUUUAUUUUCAUUUAAGUGAGUUACUAGAUUUAUUUGGGGUGAGCACAGGUUAUUUUGGAAAAGGAGAAUAUCUGUAAGAUGAUGUGAAAAUUAUUCAAUAUAAGCACAUAUAGGGGUUGAGUUCUCAAAGGAACUUAAUUAAUAUCCAAUGUGAUUGAUACAUUUCGACUAAAUGGAUGGACUGUGACGCCCCGACCAAAAGUAAAGAGUGAUUGUGAUCGGUGCACAAGGCAUGGAUGAAAAGCGGUUCCUAGUAAUGCUUCGAUACGGAGGAUACAUGAAUGAAUCGAAACACACCAGAAAGAGAGGGAUUCCAUGAGUACGUACGCAGGUAUAUGACUGCAUAUUCGAGGAGCUUAAAUAAUUUUAUUGGUGUUACUCAUAUCAACAAGAUGCAUCUUCUUUUUUGGUGACCAUAUGAAAUAAACUCCAAGGUUAAGCGUGCUUGGCGUAGAGCAACUUGAUGAUUGGUGACCUCCCUAAGAAGUUUAUCAGAAAGCGUGCUAGUAAGAACAAAACAUGCUAGAAAAGACUCAUAUUAGUCUGUGGGGACAGCCGUUAAAUUUGGAUUCGGGUCUUUACAAGUGGCAUUAGAGAUUAACCUCUCACAGUAUGGUGCGGUUCGGGAACGAACCAAGCGGAAGUUGGUACUCAAUAUUCCAUCUAUUGUGAGUUUCUUUGUCUUCUUCAUCUUUCUUUUACUCUGCUGUCGAGUUUCAGAGAGUAAUCAGAUAGGUUUUCAUUCGAGUUGAGUUUCUUGAGUGAUAAACUGUUAAUUGUGAGUUUCAUUCGAUCAUUUGUUGAUUAUAAAUAUCUGCACAUGGAUAUUGGUCAAUUUAGAUACACUGAUCUUCAAAUUGAUUGACGAAUCUUUAGAAUUCAAAAUUUAAAUCAAAUACGCGUGUUCAUAGUUAAUUGGUAAGUACACUUUUUUUUNAUAUAAAUAUAAUUGACUCGAGAUCUCUGCUACUUACGCAUACUUCGCUCGAGACAAAAAUAAAUAAUUGAUCAUUGAGAACUCCGCUACCACACCAUACUCGUGUACUAUUUAUCAUUGUUUAUGAUUAUUAAUAAAGACGUGUCUUUGCCUGAUAAAUUUAAUUUUCAUACUCUUGAUUCUUUUUUGGCCAUAUCAUUUUUUAAAAAAUUGGGAGGGGAAUGGUGGAAAUUGAAUAUGAAAAAUACCAGUCAAAUGAUACAUGUGCACUUUCAAAGACAAAACAUAAAUGUAACCUUCGUUUGUAAAACAUAGAAAUUCUACCAUAUAUUUGUGAUUAUUUUACCUUUAUACGAUCUAUUUAUAUAUAUUUAUUAGAAUUAAUAAAAAUAUACUACAUUCGUCCACGAAAAAGAAUCUCAUUGUGUGCUGGAUGUGAGUCGUAUCGAGAGUGAGAGGGAACACAUUGUCUCCGGUCUCUGCCGUCUUGGCGAGAUCUUCGGCAUUGGCCUGAUCCGGCCGCUGAGGUGGCCGGUAGGUCAUCCAUGGAGUAUGGCUAUAUUCAUACUCGUAUCCCAUUUUGGUUGUAGAACAAGAAGGCGGUGUUGUUGAAAUCGUCGUCGUUGAUAUCCUUUGGAAAACCGGCUGGGAUAGUUUUCGCCAUUAGAGUGAUGUGCGUAGAAGAGAGGAUCUUCCGGCGGUCUUCGCGGAAACCGUUGUCGCGUGUCCAUAGUUCAUGGAUUGAAAAUAUGCAGGUAAAGCACCCGGCGUACUCGGCCAUACAAUUAACUCGCCAUCAUGAGCUAUAAUUCUAUUCGAGUAAGUUCAAUCUCUAAUGAAUUAAUAUAUUUUUAUAAAUAUAUAAUUUGCAAAAUAACCUUAAAAUAAAAUAUGUAAUAAGGGUAAAAUAGGCAAUCCACAUGUUGUGCUCAAUGCUCUUUUUAUAUUACUAGGAGAAAGAUAAUUAAUGUUAUUUUAUCUAAUAAAAUAAAAAAUAUAAAUAUAAUAUUUAUUAUAUUUAAAUUUUUAAUUAACAAUUUUGUUUAUUUAAUUCUCUUAUCUCUUACAAUAUUUUUUUUUAGAAAAUCUAUUAGUUCAUUACUUCGACUAAAUAUAAUUUAUUGGAUAGAUAUAUUUAUUUAUAAGCCUUAUCAAUAGCUAUAGAUAUAUAUUACAUAGAUUUAAUGUAAUAUUUAAUGAAUCAAUAGCUCUUUUCUUUUAUAUUAGUAUAGAUUAUAUAGAUAGAUAUAUAUAGUGCAUGCAUGAUAAUGUUGAUUGAUCAUCGUAACUAUAUAAUUUAUUGCACUAAUAAUGAAUCACGUUCCCACUCGAGGUAUAUAAAAUGAAUCAUGUGACCUUUUCUACUACCCGACACAUUUUGCUCCUUGGAAUAUUAUUUAUAAUUGUGUCUAUUGUAUAGUGCAUGCAUGAUAAUGUUGUUUAAUCAUCAUAAAUCUUCAUGGCUCAUCCACCUCAUCCAAUCGAAGCAUAUAAUGAACCAUGUGAUCAUAUCUACUACCUGACACAUUUUGCUUCUUGGAAUGCUAGCUAUAAUUGUAUCUAUUGUGUGAAUGUAAGCAAAAGGGCGCGCACAAUUUUUUAUUUUUUUUUGGAUAGGUGACUCGCUCAAAAUACCUAUUGAAUUGACUCGUAAUCGCACGAGGUCAUUCUAGCGUAGUAAGCUAACCCAUGUCGUAUCUCACAAGGAAGAUUAAGCAGGACGACUAAUUUUGGAUUAUUUUUAAUCAAAUGUUGGAUAUUUUUUAAUUAGAGUAAAAUUAAAAUAAGUAAAUUAUUGUAUAUUUUCAGAUUCGGAAACUAAUGGCUUUAUUUUAAUUUAAUCAUUUUCAUAUGUCAGUUAUAUUAUGUAAAUGACGUUUUUAGUAACAAACAAAUGACAUUUUAAUCAAUAAAUGAUACUUUUAUCAAUAAUAAAUGAAACCAUAUUAAGGUAAAUAGGGUAAAGGUUAGACUUAACUGUGAAAGCAUCAUGAGUUUUAUGUGUAACAUUUUCGGUGUGAAAAUUGAUGAGUUAAAAAAAAUGCUCCAUAUUGAAUUCGACAUUAGAUGAAUCUACAGUAGAUUUUCAUGCAUGAUCUAAGAGCUGAAAAUGAUUCACGGUCUAUAUUUAUUCUAUCAAAUUCCAUAUCACUUUAAAUCUCAAAUUACAUUUGCACUAUAUAUGAUUAUAUCCUAAAUUAUCAUAAAUAUGAACCGCUUAAAUCUGGCGUCGUUGCACCGCGGACAUCUUGCCGCUGCUUUCUCCCACCAUUGCCCUUGCUGCCCUCAUCUUAGGUGCCAAUUUUUUGCUCGUCGUGCAGAAUUUGAAAGGGGUAAAUUAUUUUUUCAAUUUUUUAUUGCAUUUUGCUGUCUAAGUUGAUUUCUCAAGUAAAGUGGACUUGGGUUUUGUUUCGAUUAUAGCUGAAUUCGAUGGCGCUGUGUGGUUAGAUCUGUAAUUUUGACGUGUUGUUGAAGUGUGCGGGAUUGAAUGUGAUCUGGGAGAAUUUAAGGGUUUUGGGACGUUAGUAUGAUGAUGGUGGGAUUUGAAUGAAUUUGAAUACCAGAUUAUGGUUGAUGUUUAAUUAUGUGAAUCUUGCGAUCUGUGUUGAAAUUAAUGUACAGUAUCUUCGCCUAGCCGGGGGUUCACCAUUUGGUUCCCGACCGUCCUGCUGCCUUCACUCCACACUCAAGUGCCAAUAUCUUCUUCUCGUUUCUCUUCCUUCUUCUUCUCCUCUUAGUACCUGCAAGACAGAAGGAAAAACCAGCAAGUAUAAAGAAAAAUCAGAAAACUUAAAGAAGUAAAGAAAGAAAGAAAACAAAGGAAACUCGAGGUGGGAAAAAGGUGUCCUCGGGACACAGGUGGCUCAGAUUUUUCCCACAGUGGCAACACACUCCGGCAGCUCAAAGACCACGGCACAAAGGGGAAGGGAAGUCAGAUCGGAGCUCAAAUCUGACGAGCACAGCCACCAAUAAUCAGGAAUCCGGUGGACAGGAUUCCGGCGGCUCAGAAAUCCUUCGCUUUAUCACCAAACAGGAAAUCUAAGGUCAGCAAUCCGACAAUAAUGCUAUCAACAGGAGGAAGCUCUCACUUUACGGCCACAACACCGGAAACCAGAACGGAAACCAGAGAACAGAAGGAAUAGCAGAGCCUUCAAGGUUGUGAACAUACUACAGAACUUCCCCCAAUCGAUUGCUUUAUAACCGAGACAGAGAAGGGUCGGGAAGAUGUAGUGGGCUUUGGGAAGGAGGAGGAAGCCAUUAAUGGUGGUGGAGCUCGAGGGAAAGCGAGAUCAGCAGUCGUGAAGACUUAGGGUUUGGGAGGGGAUUUGAGGUGGAGCGGCGGAGGUUGAAAUGAGGGAAAGGCCGAGUGAGAGAGGGAGUAUUUCAGUGGAUAAUGGGCUAGGGUAUUUUUGAGUUAACGGGCUAUAGGUGUCUGGGCCCAAAAGUUGGGCCAGAGAAGGGAUAAAGAGCAUUGGGCCAACAUUCCACAAUUAAGACAAUUAAGAGUAGAAAUUCUUCUUGAUUUGCUAAUUUAUUUAGGAUUAGCGAUAUUAGUUUGGAGUUUUAGAUGUCGAUUGAUUUCGUGAUCUUGAUUUAUGUGAUAAAUGCCUCUCAUCACUAAGAUUUGGAAUAUAUUGGAUAUCUAGGAUAGUGAUAUUAGUUUGGAGUUUUAGAUGUUGAUGUGUCUUUUUAGGCUGCGUUUACUUUGAUGGAUAAAUUUAUAUAUGGAAAAGGAUGGAUAACACAAAUUUAUGCUUUUAAAUGUCUCCUUCCUCUUCCAACAUUUGACACAAAAAGAGAUGCUCGCUAUUUUUUCUUCCUUAUCUUCACUUCAAGGAUGGAUAAUAUUAUCCCUCCAUUUUGGUGUGAUAAUAUUAUCCAUCAUUGAAGUGAAGAUAAGGAAGGAAAAAUAGUAGAGCAUCUCUUUUUGUGUCAAAUGUUGGAAAAGGAAAGAGACAUUUAAAGGCAUGAAUUUGUGUUAUUCAUCAUUUUCCAUAGAUAAAUUUAUCCAUCAAAGUAUACGAAGCCUUAUGUGAUAAAUGCUUUUUUAGGGGGGCCCACGGGCAUGCUGCCCCAUAUGCUAUGGAGUAUGGACCAUGGUGGCUCGGUCACUGCGCUCUCGAUUGCGAAUUAUUUUGCAUUAUCUUUGUUUGUUUUUCUUAUAUUGGGAAAGAAAACAUAGAGUAAUAUAUAUUUUAGAAGUCCAGUUACCAAUGUCGUCAAUCUCGAGUGAAAAUAAAUAUUACCAUAACACAAAAAUGACAAAGCUAUUGAUUAGUGACGAUAUGUUAGAAGUUCAGAUAAACAACACAUUUAUUCUUGUGUAUAUUAUAUUAACGUUUAUUAUAUAUUAUAAAAAGAACAUAUUCUUUCAAAAUUAUCUUGUCUAUUUUUAGAAGUUCAGAUAAACAACACAUUUUCAGAAGAAAUUUAAUAAUCUCUUACGAUUUACAUAUAAUUUUUAAAUAAUUAAUUAUCUCAGUGGUGAUAAAAUAAAAAAACGAAGUAAUUUAUUAUAUACAAAAUAUUAUGAUUUAUGUUUGUAUAUUAUUUGUUUCCAUUAGUGCAUUAUCAUUUCUAAGUAUCUUCUCACUUGUUCACUGAUUCACUAUUGGAUUAACAUGAAUAUACGAAUUUCAUAGUAUACCAACCGUUCGAUAAAAGUCCUCAAAGAAAUCUUCCAUAGAUAACCUUGCAAAAGUACGUGUAUCUAUAUUAAUAGAAUAAGAGCCUAAGGAAUCUUAAAACACAAUUUUUGGAUUGCCUAUUUUACCACUAUUAUAUAUUAUUUUAAAAUUAUUUUACAUAUUAUAUAUUAAUAGGAAUAUAUUAAUUCAUUAGAUAUUACACUAAAUCUAUGUGAUAUAUUUCUAUAGCUAUUGAUAAGGCUUAUAAAUAAAUAUAUAUCCAUCUAAUAAAUUAUCUAAUAAAAGUAAUGAAUUAAUAGAUUUUUUAAAAUAAUAAAUUAUCAAAUAAAAUAACAUUAAUUACACACGUACGUUCUUUCUGCUAGCUAGUUAAAUAAAAAGAAGAAGAAACUGAGACUGAAAAAGGGAGAAUUAAGAUAGUCCAUUAUUAUCGUCUUAUUUUUAGAACUUAAACGAGAGAAAAGUCCAUCGCUAGUCCUAAUUUACAACACAACACAACACAUGAUAAUAAAUUUAAAUCACACAUAUUGCCGGAUGUACCCUUCCUCCUCUUUGCCGGCGGCGGCAUGCACGAGGGUGGACGUGAAAUACCACGAGACGAUGUCGUGCACGGCGUCUUGGCCUCCGGUGGCCGCGGAGAUCCCGACCUGAACCUGCUGAGGAAGAAUGGCGCUCAGGUCGUACACAUAGCUCACCUCGUAUGUUUGCGAGCCGGCGGCGAGGCUCACGCUGAUCAGCUUAGUGGCUUCCAGGUAGUUGAUGCGCGCAGUCACCUGCUGCCCGAGCAACGCGUUGCCGACGUUGGUCACGUUUUUGGAAACAUUAGAUUCGAUGUCGAUCCCGAUAUGGCGAUAGCUAGGAUCCACUCCGGGGUUGGAGAAGACGUCGAAUUCCACGGCGAAGACGGCGGGGCCGACGCCGGAGGAGUUGAAGAUUCCGAAGCAGCCGCCGGUGAAGCCGAGGGGUAAGCCGACGGGGGCGAUGAAGAAGGUCACGCCGUCGGCGGGGUUCGUGUCGCCUGCGUUGGGGGUUACGGCGAACGUCAGGGUGGUCUCGAAGUCGACCUGCGCGCCGGCCUCCCAGAACGUGAUCGGGGCUGAGUACACGGCCCGGCCGACGCUGUACUGGACCGCGCUGCCGGAGCUGGUGGUGUUGGUCAUGCGGAGGAAGGUGGAGUCCGACGGGAAGUGGGCGUCGCCUUGGUAGAGGAGAUCGGUCGGCUGGUCGCCCCAGAAGUCGUACGUGAAGGCUGUCGAUUGGGACUGCAUGCGCCGUGUUGGCGGCGGUGGCGAGGAGGAGGGCGAUGGAGAUUAGGGUUUGGAGAAGCUUGGCCAUGGCUUAAUUGAGUUAGUAGUAUUUGCUUUGGAUGUGGUGUGAUGAUGGUGUAUUGGUGUUAACUCUUGCUCCUAUUUAUGCUAGUAUAGUGCUUGAAUGAAAAUGUUAUUUAAAUUAACAUCAUAUUUUUUAUUACACAAAAAUGACUCACCCCAUCUUCUCGAGAUUAACUGAACUUGUGAUCUCUAAUAAUUUAUAACCUACCACAUUGUAGUUGUUGGAGUAUACUCCCUCUGUCCCGGUUUUAGCACGAGUUUUAAUAAAUUGGUUGAUUGUAUUAUGAGUAGAAUAAGGAUAAUAUUUUUUAUGGAAGUGUUAAAAUAAUUAAAAUUGAGAAAAUGUUUCACCUAUUUUUAUUAAAAAUAGAAAUGAAUUUUAAAAUAUGGGACGACGGCCAGAAAAAGAAAAUAUAUAUGGAUACUAAAAGUUGGGACGGAGUGAGUAUUAUCUAUAGUGGUAUCUAUUGUAUGAGUACAAGAGAUUUACUUGACUUGUUGAGGUAUGGAGAGAUUAUUACAAACCACGUGAAAUUGAGUUCUUGCUCCCACUGUAAAAGCAAUAAAUAUAGGGAAAAGAAAAUUAAUACUUCCUUCGUCCAAGAAAUGAGUACACAUAUUUCUUUUUUAGUCCGUUCAUGAAAUGAGUACUCAUUAAUUUUUCUUUUUAUCAAGUGUACCUCACACAACCCUUUAAUUAAUUAAUACCUUUAAAAAGUGGGUCCCUUAUUCCACUAACACCACACUCAAUCAUUUCUUAAAACCUGUAACGUCCCCAAAUGAGAUUCAUUUCGUGGAUUGAGUAAAUUCUAUACUACAAAUUAAUGGUUCGAAUUCACUUUAAAAAAUAAACUACAAUUAAGAGUCCCUCUCUUAAUUGGAAUUCAUAGACCAUCUGCUUCAGUCGUGCCCGAAGACAGAAAAGGUUUGGAUUGGAAUUCAUAGGUGGCUAGGGAAUAAAAGCAGUGUGGCCUCAAUCAUUGAAGCACACUUCGAUUUGUUCACAAAUCUUGACAAAGGAAAGGAAGGUCGAUUUUUCUAGCGACAGUAUGGGUCUAUACCAUUUGGUUGCUGUGGAAAUGACGUAACGAGAGCAGAUUUGAGGGCAAGACUUGGGAGAUCAAUGACGUGAUCGAAGAAGUGAAAGUGAGGAUGUGGAGUUGGAACAAGAUUUUUGGACUACAUGUUAAAGAGAUUAGCUCUCAAUCUUGGUUUUCUUGUGAAACUCCUCUUGUUUUGUGUAAUUUGGUCGUAUCUCUGGUACCAAACUCUCUCCUAAUAAAAUUUCUUUUCUGAUUAAAAAAAAAAAAAAGAGUCCCUCUCUUAAUCAAGUAGACUGGAUGCGGUAAGAGAGAAAUCACUUCCAACUUAUCGAUUUUACUAGCAACAACUAGAUUUAUACUGAAGCUAAAUUGGAUCAGACUCUAGGAUUCACUAGUCUUUUACUCAAGGUGAGUCGGUUUACGAGUCUCAAACUCAAGGUGAACUAGAAUGUCUGUCAAUACGAACGUUGGGAGUUCGAGGGUUUUUUAGGACAGUAACUUAGAUUGAUUUGGAAAUUAGGACAAUAACUUUCGGACUUGUAAAAAUAGGACUCUAAUUCUUUUUAAGAGUAAAAUAGGACACUAAUUAAUAAGUGUUACAUCCGCAGGACAUUUUUCGGCCAAUUAUCGGCCGAGAAAUGUCCUACUUUUACGACGCUUAUUAAUUAGUGUCCUAUUUUUACAAAUUCGAAAGUUUUGUCUUAAUUUUCAAAUCAACAUAAGUUAUUGUCCUAAAAAAUCCCCUGACUCCGAACGUUGGAACAAGCUCGGCAAUAUACUGCUAUUCAACAUUAAUGGCACUUUGCACUAAAUGAAUUGGUGUCGAAUUAAUACAUCGUCUUGCUGCUCAUAUCUAUAUAAUAAAUGCAUACCUGCACCUCGAUAUUAAUCAAUUUAGAUACACUAAAUCUCGGAUAUACUUAACAAAUGGAUUAAUAAAUGUAUAAAUUUUAGAUUUCAGAAAAUCAAAUACAGGUGUUCAUAAGGAAAUGAUUAAAAACCCGUGUGUCAUUUAGAUAAGAUUAUUAUAGUACAGUUAACGAUGGUGAAAUAUUCUUUUACAUUAGAUAUAAUAGCAUUCCAGAUCUCAAUGGCAUUUUUUGUUAUAACAAAAAAAAAUUGUAUAUGUUCCAUACUAUCCUCAAACUUCAAAUUAUUAUUUUUCUUUAUUUUAAAAUUUGUAUUGGCACAUAUCUGUCAAUUAAUCAAAUUCAUAUCAAAACAAUAAUUCGAAUGAUAUAUUAGUUGGCUAGCUAUAAAUUACAAAUUAUUAGUGAUUAGGCAUGUUUUACACAAAUUAUUAGCCCAAACAACAUUUGAUUGUGUGCAAUGCACACACUUACUAAAAGCAGAUGUGAUCAUCUGUCCCACAAUUUAGUGUGUAUCACCGUGUACCAUUCUUAAUUUGUCUAUUUUAUAAUUAUUUGUUGUAAAAAUAAAAAAAAUAUUGUUAUAUUAUGAACUCUAAUUAAAAUUUAUAACUAAAAAUAAAAAUUAAAAAAAAUUAUAUACCCUAACUUUGAAUUAAUUAACCCAAAUAAUCAAUUAUUAAUUCAAAUAAAUAUAAAAAAUAAUUAUAAACUCUAAUUGAAUGAGUGAACCCUUAUUAAUUAGUUUCUUAUUAUAUUAUAAUAAAUUAAAAUUGAAGAAAAUAUAAUUAUAUAUUAUAAUAAAUUAAGAGUGGUACACGGUGGUACACACUAAAUUGUGGGACAGAUCCAUGUGCACUAAAUUAUAGGUACGGAGGUGCGGAUGCGGGGGCGAUACGAUACGAGUACGGGGAUACGGGUUCUAAAAAAUUAUAGGGUGCGAUUCGGCAAGGAUACAUCUAAUUAUUAAAAUUUUAUGAUAUACUAAUUGUUAGAAAUGGAUAUUGGGCCAAUUCCUCCCUUAAAAGGCCUUAUAAGGGAGAGGGUUACCUCACCAUAUAAAGUGGCUCAUGCCACUAUCUCCAAUCCAAUGUGGGACACUUCAAUACUAAUGCUUAUAAAAUAUAUACAAUUUAAAUUUUCUUAAAUUAAUUAUAUGUAAUUUACAUUUUAUUUUACCCAAAAGUUAAGCAUUUUCAAUUAUAUAAGUUAAUUGAGCAACAAUAUAACGAUUCAAAUAUUAUUAGUCCAAUAUAUAAGUCAUAACUGAAAAUAAAAUUAUCAAAAUAACCUUGUGUAGGCCUUUCGUGCACGAGAUACGUGAAUUUCGCCUAUGGAAUUUGCAAAUCCGGUUUAUUUUUAUAAAUUGUUUUAAAAGAUACGCACUGGUGAAUCGGUGCGAAUCCGACAAGAAUUCGAGAAAUCACACCCUAAAAGAAUCCGAUUCGCCGUACAUCUAAUUUUUGAAGAAUCCGUGCAUCAUAGGUGAGAAGAAACACAAGAGAGUAAAAUGGUACAUAAUGUAGAAAGACUUUUCUCCAAAAUAAAUGUUACAGUCUUCUAAUAGUCGAAAGGCGCAUGAAAAUGCGCAGUUAUUCGAAAGAAAGGAAAGGCUUAUUCAGCCACACAAUGACAUGGAAUUCGAAUUGAAAUUGAAAUUCAGACAAAUCCCAAACACGGUGAUGCAGAGAUCAAGCGGUAACACGAGGAAUGAUCUUAAUACCACCGAUGGUAACUUCGUCGCCGUUAAUGUGGGGAACGAUGGUGACGACAAUGAAAUCAUCAUCAGCAAUAUUGAUGUUCUCAUAGAGCUCCCUCAAGUUCAAGCGAAGGUCGUUGGCGCUUUCCGCAGCCCUAACCCUAUGCGGAAUCUGCGUGAAACUGCCGGCGAACUCGGCCCUGGCGAGGUCCUCUGGCUUGUCGUCUUCGUCAUUCACGAACACAUCGAACCUCACGAGCUUCGAACUAUCGGUGAUUAUGUUCUCCAGCACGAGCACUUCGUCGGCUUUGCCUUUGGUUGGUUUGGGCACCAAAACCCUGUGAGUCUUGUUGAGAGUGAGAGGGAACAGAUUGUCUCCACUCUCUGCCCUCUUGGAGAGAUCUUCGAUAUUCACCGGCACCUCCCUCCGCGGUGGCCGGUAGGCUGUCCACGGAGUUUCGCUGUGUUCAUACACGUAUCCCAUUUUGGUGUGGUCCAAGCAGUCGGCCACCUUGACGCGCACGAGGUUCUUCUUCUCGUCGUAGAACAUGAACGCCGCGUUGUUGAAAUCGUCGGGGUUGGGGACGACGAGGUCGUUGAUAUCCUUGGGGAAAACGGAUGGGAUAGUUUUCCAUAUGGUCCACAUUCUGUCGACGUUAGCGUGAUGUGCGUAGAAGAGAGGGUCUCUUCCGGCGGAGUAGAAGUUCCCCAUGUCUUCGCGGAAAUCGUUGGCGGGGUUUCCGGUCCAGACGUGGACGCCGCCGUGUGAGCCGCCCUCCGACAAUCCUCCCUUGGCGCGUGGCGGGGGCAAGUCCCCGGAAACGUAAGGAUCGCCCAUGAAGUCGAUGGCGGAUUCGACAUCACCAAUCAUUUCCUUGUACAUCUGAGUGAGAUUGUUUUCGAUGAUCGUUACAGGAUCGGUGAUCGGGGGGGUGGUUAUGGCAAGAGCAACGAGGGCCGGGGGGCGAUGCGUUGGGUCGCGGUUGACGUCGUAGAGCGGGGAUUCUUCCCUGUCGAACGGCCUGGGCAUCUGCAUACCCCUAGGGUUGUCCCAGUUCCAGUAGGGCAGGGCGAAAUCGGGAUCUCCGAUGAGUUCGCCCAUGAUCCUCUCGAAGAAAUAGAGGUACCACCUGUGGAAGGGGUGGAUCCAGAAUUUGUCAUUAGGAGGGACUAAAUUUGUUGAAGCAUGACGUCUCAAAUUAUUAGCCAAUUUUUUUUAGCAUUCCAUACAGUUCAUUUUUUUGUCGAACUACAUUCGAUUAAUUCAACAACAAGAACAUUGAAAGCAUAUAAAUACUUACCUCUCAAAAAUUGUUUCAUCUUCUAAGAAGAUAAGCUAAUUUUCAUCAUGGCAGUUCAUAAUUUUAAUUUAACUUGAGGAUUGACUCAAAUUCAACACUGAGAAUCAACUAAGAAAGGAAAGUAGACAAAAAUAACAUAAAUUUAACAAACUAACAUAUCAAAUUUAAAUCACUAUAAAAUAUUAAACAGUUAAAACGUGGAUACUAUAAUUAAUAAAACAAUGUAUUUUAUUAUCUCUUGUAUUUCUUAUCUAUACUAAUAGAAAAAGAGUCUAAGACAGUCUAAGGCACAACUUGUGGAUUGCCUAUUUUACCCUUAUUAUAUAUUUAUUAUUAUAUUUACAAAAUAUAAAUCUAUUUUGAUAAAUAUUUAUUUGUCACUCAAAUCUAUAAAGAAUACUUUAUAUCUAUAGCUAUUGAUAAGGCUUAUAAAUAAAUAUAUUCAUCCACAACGUACGUUCUUUCUGCUAGUAUAUAAUAAAAACAAAAACAAAAAACUCAAAAUUUGGGAGGCGGUCGAUCCGCUGCUAACCUGUGGAAAGGGAAGAAGAUCCAUGAGUUGUGAACCUGGAUAUCGAUGCCGGGGUGGUCCACCUGGUCGUAGGGGCCGUUGCAGUAAGCGCAGUGGAUGUUGGCCUGCUGAGUGAAGCCACGGGGAUCGUCGGGGUCCGUCACGUCCAGUUCCUUCAUCUUCUGGAUGGCCAACUCAUACUUGCGUACGUAUUCCGGUGUCAGCCUGUGCGCCGCCGGCCUAACGCGAGGUUUAGUGAACCUCGGAAGCUUGUAGUCGCUCUGAACGUCGGUGUAGGGCGGGCAGCAGUUGACGUCUAGAGAUAUUACCUCUUGGUUUCGAGUGGUGUAGGCACCUUCGGGGUCGCAGGUGCUCAGGUCAGGAGGCAAAAUCGGAAGCGCCUCAGCUUUGCGGAUGGCGCUGCCUGCGCCGUAUAGACCGCCCAGCCCAAGCAGCAUGUUUCUGCGGUCUAUACGGCCGCUGCCACCGCCACCGCUGCUGCAUGACACCUGAAAGCGGCCGUGGCUCCGCCGGCUGCUGAGCUGGGAGGGCUUGCGAAAUGGGGAGUUGGUGGCGGCGGCGAUCGCCGUGAAUGAAGAUUGAAGGGAAGCCAUGUUUGAGUGAUUGAUUGAUGGUCGUUGUGAUUACCUGGGGAGGCAUGUCUUUAUAUAGCAGAUGUGACACGAGUUUUAAGAAAAAUAAAUUAUCCGUUGAAUAAUUAAAUCGCCAUGUUUCUAUAAUUUAUUCCUAAUGGAUCUAGUCAAACUAAUCGUGCAAUAUUUAAUAAACCACGCAGCAUCAUUUCCGAGACUAAUAAAUGACAUUUUGAACCAGCUAAUCAAUUCCAUAUAAUUAACCAUUUGCGAGGCUGGCUGCCCUUCACUAAAUGGUUGUAUGCACUUGUCUUUGGAAAAGCUGUUUGGCCAUAUUAUGGCCAGUCAUAAUAUGGGAAAAUAUUAUAAAAGUCAUGUAUUUAAUUUUUUAUAUUUAAAAUAAAAAUAGGAUUUUAUUAGUUUUAUUUUUUAUUACAUAUUUUAGCUAUUUUUUUUUAUAAUUUUUCUGAAUUUUUUAGAAAAAUAAAAAAUAAAAUUACAAUGUGAACAAAAUUAUAAAACUAAUAAUGGUAGAGCAGCGGAGGGCACAGGUGAAGGGCAUGGCGGCGGUGUACUUAUUUUAGUCAAGUAAUUAUUAUUGCACGAAAAAAUAAUUAUUAAUAUAAAGAAAGAUAAUGUUUCAAAGACAUUAUCUUUCUUCAUGUCUAUUAAUUUUUCAUCACAAUAAUAAUUACUUCGAAUUAUCCGUGUUUUCAAUCGUGCGACCUGCACCCAGCCCGACCCGACCCGUUUCACCCAUAUAGUCAGUCUCACCCAAGUUUUUGCCUAAAGAUAAGUAUUAAUUAGUUGUGUAUGGUGAUAUGAGUCUUGUUUGUAUAAAUUAGUAGGCCUUUAAUAAUGAAUUGGCCCAUCUCAGGUGGUUUAUAUAAUUUACUCGUAUGGAUCUAAAUACAACUAAUCAUGAAAUAUUUAAUAUACCACGGAGCAUCUUUCUGAUAUACUAUUUAUAUAGUAAUUUAUUCCUAAUGGAUCUAAUCUCUGACUAUUUAAUAAUUAACUCGCCAUCGUUUAAAUAAUUUACUCCUUAUGGAUACACUCAAAGUAAUCGUGCAAUAUUUAAUAUACCACGCAGCAUCAUUUCUCAUACAAUAUUUUGGACCAUCUAACCAAUUACAUAUAAUUAAACCUUUUGCCAGGGUGGCUGUCCCUUCCACUAUAUGGUUGCAUGUAUUGAAUUGAAAUUUUAUUGAGGAAAAAAUGAAAAGAAAAACUAGGAAUUCAUUGAUAGCACGAAGACGCUAAUUAAGGGCUGAGCCUCAUCAAAACCUUUCCGAUAAAAAUCCAGUGAAAAAAACCACCAGCAAAGGAAAAAGAGUACCAGUCUAUUACAAUAAAAAAAUGAAGAACAAACUCAAGACAGGAACAACGAGAAGCACGAGAGGAUGAUAAAACAUCUAACCCGAAAAAAAAGACCCAAACCAAAGGAGCCUGACAAAUCCGGAGCCAGUACCAGCGCACCAGGAAACUGAAAAAGUUCUGGAGAAGCCACUUCGACCCAAGCACGCCAACCAUCCAAAAGAAACGACUACCACACCCACACCUAGGCCAAGAAAUAUAUAAUAUUGUGAAUAGUUCCCAUGGGAUCGAAACAGACCACCAAAACAAGAAAAAACCUCUAAGAGCAGACUACUCAUUGCCUGCCUGCCUAGUAUUCGAUGAAAUACCCAAACCAGAAAUCAUAGCAUAAAGCAAAAACCGCCACAGCUGGGGAGCGAAGAGCAGAAGGCCACCAAUAAGAUACAUUAGGAUUGCGCAAAGUCUGACAAAGAAAUCAGAAAACUUACCAGACCACUCUAGUUAAUGUAAUCUAUACAUGUCCGCACAUGAAAUUUGGUCAAGUUAGAUACACUAAUCUCAAAUCUAUUUAAUUAACAAAUUGAUUGAUUGAUAUUUUUUUCUGAGAGAAAUUGAUUGAAUAAUUUUUAGACUUCAAAAACUAAUAGUUAAUUGAUUGUUUAGAUAAGAUUAUUAUUACACUUUUAUAUAGAGAUAAUUAGUACUUGAGAUAUGUGCAAUUUACGCAUUCUUCUCUCGAGACAAAAUAAAUAUUAUUGACCAUUGAGAACUCUGCUACCACUACUCCAGUUCUAUUUAUUAUCAGUGUGCCCUCUCGCGCGCUGCACGGGUCACAACAUAUUUGAUUAUUUAAUUUUAGCUGUUUACGCAUACUUCGCUCGAGACAAAAAUAAAAUAAGAUUUAUUGAUCAUUGAGAACUCAGUACCACACCAUACUCGUGUAUACUAUAAUAUUUAUCAUUGUUUAUGAUUAUUACGUGUCUUCGCCGAUAAAUUUAAUAUUCAUUCCUUUAAUUUUUUUCUAUUGACAUUGGAAACUGUCUUGAUUCUUUUUUGGCCAUAUCAUAUAUUUAAAAAAUUGGGAGGGGAACGUGGAAGUUGAAUCUGAAAUAAGAAUCAAAUGAUACAUGUGUACUUUCAAAGAUAAAACGCAAAAUAUAUCAUUUUUUUGUAAAACAUAUAAAUUCUACUAUUUAUGAUUAUUUUAAAUUUAUAUAAUCUAUAUUUGUAUGUAUAUAUAUUCUCCAUUUGUUCAUGAAAAAGAGUCUCAUUGUAUGCUGAAUACGAGUUUUAAUAAAAUGGUUGUAAGUGUGAAAUAAAUGUAUAAUUUGUAAGAGUCUUUACAUUAGAUUAUAUUUUACUCUCUUCGUCCUAUUGAUAAUGACUCACUUUUCUUUUUCGUCUGUCUCAUUGAUAAUUGCAUGUUCCAAAAAAACUGAAACCAUUUGACCUCACAAAAUGUUGUGGGCUCCACUACUUUUUAUCACUUUUAUCCUUUAAUUACUAUUCUUAUUAAUAACCGUGUCGAACAGUAAUGAACUAUUAUCAAUGGGAGGGAGGGAGUAAUAUUUUAAUUUUGUUUGCUGCCACCACCACCACCACCACCACAAUUUAAAAAAAAAAAUCUACGUGAAUAUAGUAAUUAUUAGAACAAAAAAAUAACUAUAAUAAUAAUAUAUUAAUCCGUUAAUUAUCUAUACUAAUAUAAAAAGUGCAUUUGGCACAAAAUAUAUAUUGCCUGUUAUAUCCCUAUUAUAGUAUUUUAUUUGAAGGACAACUUUGUAAAUUAUAUAUUAUAUAUUUAUAAGAAUAUAUUAUUUCAUUAGAUAUUACACUAAAUAUAUUUGAUAUAUAUCUAGAUCUUAUGCUAUAAUUUUUUUUAUAUUAAUUAAUUAUUAUAUAUUGUGAUUUAAUAGAAUUAUACAACUCUAAUAAUUUAUAAAUGUAAAGUUCAGGGAUUGCAUGCAAUGCACACAUUCUAUGCUAGAAAAAAAAUAGAAUUCACUAAGCCGAUGAUAAAUAACACAUACAACGUACUAUUUCUGCUAGUAAAUUAAAAAUCUAUAUGAUUUUAUCUUCUAUCACUACAUUAAUUAAAAUCUAUCUUCCGUUUCAUAUUAACGGUGGUUUUUCAAUAUUUUUUAUAUUAAUUACUACAUAUUGUGAAUUUAUUACAAUUGUUAACCUCUAACAAUUCAUUAAUAUAAAGUUGAUGGAUUGUGUGUCAUGCACAAACUCUCCUGUACUCAUCUAAAAGACUCUAUAUGUGAGAAGAAACCGCAGGAGAGUAAAAUGGUACAUAACAUAGAAUAGAAAGACUUUCACAAAAUAAAUGUUACAUUCUUCCCGUAGUCGGAAGGAGCAUGAAAAUGCGCGGUUAUUCGCAAGAAAGAAAGGCUCACUCAGCCACACAAAACAUGGAAAUCCUAAACACGGUGAUGCAGAGAUCAAGCGGUAACACGCGGGAUGAUCUUAAUACCACCGAUGGUAACAUCGUCGCCAUUAAUGUGGGGAACGAUAGUGACGACAAUGAAAUCAUCAUCAGCAAUAUUAAUGUUCUCAUAGAGUUCCUUCAGGUUCAAGUGAAGGUCGUUGGAGCUUUCCGUGGCCCUAACCCUGUGCGGAAUCUGCGUGAAGCACCCGGCGUACUCGGCCCUAUCGAGCUUCUGUGGCGUGUCGUCUGCAUCAUUCACGAACACAUCGAACCUCACGAGCUUCAAGCUAUCGCAGAUUAUGUCCUCCAGCACCAGCACUUCGUCGGCUUUGCCUUUGGUUGGUUUGGGCACCACAACCCUAUGAGGCUUAUUGAGAGUGAGAGGGAACACAUUGUCUCCGGUCUCCGCCGUCUUGGCGAGAUCUUCGGUAUUGACCGGUUCCGGCCGCUGAGGUGGCCGGCAGGUCAUCCAUGGUGUAUGGCUAUAUUCAUACUCGUAUCCCAUUUUUGUGUGGUCCAAGCAGUCGGCGACCUUAACGCGCACCAGCUUCCUCUUCUCGUUGUAGAACAUGAAGGAGGCGUUGUUGAAGUCGUCGGGGUUGGGGACGACGAGCUCGUUGAUAUCCUUCGGGAAAACGGAUGGGAUCGUUUUCCAUAUAGUCCACAUUCUGUCGACGUUAGCGUGAUGUGCGUAGAAGAGAGGGUCUCUUCCGGCGGAGUAGAAGUUCCCCAUGUCUUCGCGGAAAUUGUUGGCGGGGUUUCCGGUCCAGACAGCCGCCCUCCGACAAUCCUCCCUUGGAGCGUGGCGGGGGCAAGUCUCCGUCAACGUAAGGCUCGCCCAUGAAGUUGGUAGCGGAUUCGACAUCACCAACCAUUUCCUUGUACAGCUGAUUGAGGUUGUUGGAGAUGAUCUGUACGGGAUCGGUGAUCGGGGGGUUGGUUAGGGCAAGAGAAACGAUGGCCGGGGGCCGAUGCGUCGGGUCGCGGUUGACGUCGUAGAGUGGCGACGCGUCCCUGUCGAACAUCGAGGGCAUCUGCAUGCCCCUAGGGUUGUCCCAGUUCCAGUAGGGCAGGGCGAAAUCGAGAUCUCCGAUGAAUUCGCCCAUGAUUCUCUCGAAGAAAUAGAGGUACCACCUGUGUAGGGAUGAAUCCAGAAUUUGUCGUUAGGGGGGCUAAAUCUAAAAGUAUUUGCAGUGGGGGCUCCCGUCCGCAAGACAAUUUUUUUUAACCAUUCCGUAUAGAUUUAAUUGGCUUAACAUUAGAAAUCAGUCACUUACUAUAAAAAAUAGUUGUUCGCAUUCCAUUAAUUCAACAACAAGUACAUUUAAAGCAUAUACAAACCUACCUCUGUGCAAUUUUUUAAAAUAUUAUUUCGACUUCUAAAAGAAUAAACUAAUUUUCAUUGUUAAUUAAUAGUUCAAAAUUUUAGUUUAUCUUGAAGAUUAACUCAAAUUAAAUAUUCAAUAUUACCUAAUUAAACAAAAAUGAGACAAAAAUAACACAAAUUUUUAACAAACUAACCUAGCAAAUCACUGUAAAAUGUUAAGCAAUUCUUUCUUGUAUUUCUUCUAUAUAUUAAAAACAAAAAAAUUAGGGAGGGGGCUUCAGCCCCCGUGGAUCCGCCACUAACCUGUGGAAGGGGAAGAAGAUCCAUGAGUUGUGAACCUGGAUAUCGAUGCCGGGGUGGUCCACCUGGUCGUAGGGGCCGUUGCAGUAAGCGCAGUGGACGUUGGCCUGCUGAGUGAAGCCGCGGGGAUCGUUGGGGUCCGUCACGUCCAGAUCCUUCAUCAUCUGGAUGGCUUUCUCGUACUUGGCUAUGUAUUCCGGUGUCAGCCUGUGCGCCGCCGGCCUCCUGCGAAGCUUUGUGAACGUCGGAAGCGUGUACUCUUCCUCGUCGUCCGUGUAGGGCGGGCAGCAGUUGGCGUCUAGAGAUAUUAUCUCCCCGUUUCUAGAAGUAUAGGCACCUUUGGGAUCACACUUGCUCAGGUCAGGAGGUGAAAUCGGAACCGCCUCAGCUUUGCGGAUGAGGCCGCUUGCGCCGUAUAGACCACCCAGACCAAGCAGCAUGUUUCUGCGGUCUACACGGCCGCCGCCGCCUCCAUCACUGCUGCACGACACCUCAAAGCGGCGCCUCCGCCUGCUGGCGAGCUGGGAGGUGGUGCGGAGGUUGGGGUUGGUCGUGGUCGCCAUCACCAUGAAUGAAGAUUGAAGGGAAGCCAUGCUUGAUUGAUUGAUGCUUGCAUUGCGCUCGAGGCAUGCAUGUCUAUAUAUAGUAGGCGUGGACACGAGUUUUAAGAAAAAUAAUGAUACUUAAUGGGAUUAUUUUCGAAAAUGAAUUAGGAAGAUGUUUUGGAGACGAAAAUAGAAAAUUGACCUUUUGCCAGGCUGCCCUUUCACUAAAUGGUUGUAUGCACUUAUCUUUUUUUUAUCUAUAAAGAGGUAUUUUCUCCAUUUAAAAAACUUAUCGAGGUAAUUAUGAAGACUAUUCAUUUUUAUCGUUGUAAAGUUAAUUAAAUUAUAAAAAUUAAAGUUGAUAAAGUUCUUAUUAAACAUCAUCGCUCUUCUGUCUUUGGACGACAAAAUUAAUUAUUUCAAAUAGAUAAAGAACUUGAUUUUCCGAUAUGGCUUCUCAUACUAAUUAAAUAAUCUAAUCCUAUAAUGUAUUUCAUAUAAAGUUAUCAAAUUAACAAUAUUCUGUGUGAAUUUUUUUGCCUUGAGUGUGUGUAUAGAGGUAGUCAGGGCCGGCCCUGAGGGUGGGCGGGCAUGGGCGACGGCCCAGGGCCCCAAAAAUUUGAGGGCCCAAAAUUUUUAAUAUAUCCUAUUAAUUAUAGAUCUUAUGUAUACUAACAACAUAGUUCAUCUAUUGAUUUUGGGCCCAACAUAAUUUAUUCUCAAAUUUAGAUCUAUACUUAAUAUAGAGAGUUUUCAAUUUGAAAUCAAUUUCAAAGUAAUUUCAAAAUUGAGUGACUAUUUUGUAGUUAUAAUAUUAAUAAAAUUGAAGGUUUAUGUUUAAACUAUAUAUUUUUAUUUUUAUUUUUAUUUUCAUUUUCAUUUUCUUUAACUUCUUAUUUGUUGUUACAUUUCUUUCCAAAAUUGUGAAAUUCAAUUAAUUAUAAAAUAUUUAAUAUGCAUAUCAAAUUAAAGAUCACAAUAAGAGUUUUAAUAUGAUAUAUUUUAUGAAAAAUAUUUGAUUUAAAAUGUAAAAUUUAUGCAUGUUCAAAUAUUAAAGUUUUAUAAAUUUCUCUCACCUCUCUCAUCUUUACGAAUAAAUAUAUUUUUAAUUCUUUUAAAUUAGUAUUUUAUUUUUAAUUUUUUUAACUUAUUUUUUUGUUUUUGUAUUUCAUAAUAUCAAAUUUUAUAAUUGUGAAUUCUUUUUUUAUUUUUUUUAAUAUUCAAUUCAAAUAUAUAUAAUUAAAAUUAAUUUUUUAUUAUAUUUAUAAGUAUAAUAAUUAAAUUAGUAUUAAUUUUAUAUAAAUAGUAAAAACAAAAAAUAUUUCCCGUGCAUGAGAUGCAAAUGGUAGUUGCACCUCGCCGCCGGUAAUAUAUUUAAGUAUAUAAAUUAAUUAAUAUUAACAAGGCGCCCGGUGAUCACCGGAGGCAUCCUUGCCGCUGGUAUUUCUGCCGCUACUUUGAAAAAUACGGCCGUCGGUAAAUCUGGCCGCAAAUUGUGUACGUUUUUUGGUAGUGGUAAUAUAUUAGGGCCCAAUUUUUUAAUUUCGCCCAGGGCCUCAGUUUUGUCAGGACCGGCCCUGGAGGUAGUUAUAGAAUUUAUCUUUUGUGUUCUCAAAGGAACUUAAUUAAGAUCCAAUGUGAUUGAUACAUUUCGACUAAAUGGAUGGGCAAGAUUCUUUUAACGCCCAAUAUUAAUUCCAUCUCAAAUCGGAUCUUAUAUAAUACUGUAUUUUAUAUAUUCUAUAAUGCAUUUUAUAUAUUACGUGUCUAUUAAAUUAACAUUGAUCUUAGGAGUGAUACAAGUUUAAAAAAAAGCUAGCUGUAUAUUUGGUGAGUAGAGAAGGGAUUUCAGAAAUUAGAAAAAAUGGUGAUAGGUAGUGGAAUUAUUUUAAAAAAUGGACUAAAAAGAUGUUUCAUGAACGAACGAAAAUGGCAAAAUAGGAAGAUGAGUCGUGGUCGGAGGAAAUAUUAUAAUGCAUCGUAUCCUUUUUUGGUUCGUAUAAAGAUUUUUAUUUGAUCCUCAUCGAGAACAUGCAUAUUGCGAAUACUUAAUUUAUUUCAAUAUAUAUAUAUUAAUUUAUUGGGAGCAUAUGCUAAAUAAAUUAAAUUAAUCCGAAUCAAAAGCGCUUAAUUAUCACUACAUUACAUGCAUUAUGACAAAAAGCCUGCGGCUAAAGAUCUUCAGUUUAAGUCUAUUGUCAUAUUGUUUUUAAAAUAUUAUUUAUCCAUUCCGCAUAUGGAUUGGUCAGAUUUAGAUACACAAAUCUCAAAUGUAUUUAAUUAACAAAUUGAUUGAUAAAUUUUAGAAUUCAAAAAUUAAAUCAAUCAAAUACGCGUGUCCACAGUCAAUGGAUUGAAAAUAUGCAGGUAUCUAGAUAAGAUAUAUUAUUAUUAUUAUUACACUGUUAACUAUACUGCAGUACACUUUUAUAUAUACAGACAUAAUUAAAAUAUGCAGGUAUCUAGAUAAUAAGAUUAUUAUUACACUAUUAACUAUACUGCAGUACACUUUUAUAUAGAGAUAAUUACUAGAGAUAUGUGCUAUUACCCAUACUUCGCUCGAGACAGAAAUAAAUACGAUUGACCAUUCAAUUAAACACUACGACACCAUACUCGUGCAUGUACUAACGAUCUUAUUAUAAGUGCACCUUCCCGUGCGAUGCACAGGUCAGUAGAAUUGUAAUCGAUAUUGAUGUGAAUAUCAUCAUAUUCGAUUCGUAUUUGUGAAAAUACUCUAAUAUUUGAUUCAGCAUUCGAUUCGAUCACGAAUACUAAAUACGAUCCCAUAUUCGAUUCGAUGUUAUUUUUGAAUUAUUUGAUACAUUUUUUAAAAUUAAUUAAAUAAUUUUUUUACGAAUAUUCGAUUCGUUUUCCAUCAUAUUCAAUUCAAAACUAUUCGAUUUGAAAUUCUGAAGGAAAAAAUAUGUUAAAUAAUAUUCUAAAAAAUAUAGGAUUAUAUCCAAUAUAUUUACCUAAUAAUUAAACACACAAUAAUAAAGUGUUCAAUUCAUAUUGUUUUAUGUCCCGUGGUUUGUUUCUAGGAUUGUGGUAAUAAAGACUGAUUGGAUCAGUCUAGUACAGUUGUUGUUUGAAUUUGUAAUUUUGUGUAACGGCAUUGUCAUCUUGUUGAGAUUAAUAGGAGUUAAUUUGUUUAAUUAAUUAUUCAUGAGUUUCUUAUAAGAUACCUUCCUUCGUUCCGUAAAAAUAGUCAUAAUUUUUCAUUUUAGAACGUCCAUAAAAAAAUAGUGUUAUUCCAUUUAUAAACAAUUUAGAUCCUUACCUUUGGGAUGAGAUAAAAUGAAAUUCCAUUUUAAAUCAUAAACUAGCUAUAUAGGAAGCAUUUUCAGCUCUUGAAUUCAUCUGUUGUUCGAAUUUCAUAGGAAGCAAGUUUUUUUGACUCAUUAUUUUCACAGCGAAUUCAUCAUGUUACACAUACCCUAAAGUGAUAUAUUUACCCUAUUUGAUAACAUGAUAAGUAUAUUUGAAGCGCUCACUAUUUUAUUUGAACUUUAUUAUCGAGUUUAAACGAGUUUUGAAAUAUUGAAUUAAAUUGAAAUAUCCAUGUUGAUCGUUUAAGAAGCAAAUUUUUGGCAUGGGUUUAUAAAAAAUACAUCCUAGCCUCCAUCCCUAAUAAGUGCGGUGUGAAGGAGUGGGCAAUAGUUCUUUAAAAAUAAUUGAGAGAUGUGUAUAAAGUGGAUAAAAUGGCUUACUAGAGCUGAUUUGUUAGGCCUUACUUUCUCUCUGCCCCACUAAAAUAAGCUCAAUUCUUUUGAGAACAUAGAUUAAUAAACUUUCUUUUGAGAAGAAAAUUAAAGUGGUGGCAAAAGUAAUGUGGUCCAUACCAAUUAAGCAAUUUGAGUACAUUUUUUUUUUCACUCAAAAGGAAAACGAGCCUAUUCUAGCGGGACAUUCCAAAAUAGAAAACGAGCAUAUUCUGCUGGGACGAGGGAAUAAUAAAUUGUUUGUGAGAUGAGUAGUUUGUAAAUAUUGUGUGUGAAAGGUGUAUGUCUUAAAUUGAAAAGACCAUACCUGUAUUGUGAUUGUACGGAAAGGUGGAACUGAGCAUCGCGGCGGCGGCGAGGCAGGAGGCGGCGGUGGUGAGGAGAAUCGAGAGAGAGAGAGAAAGAUGCCAGCAGACAGUGACGGAGGGCAGUGGGCGGCCCUUGGCGGCAGCGGAGACGACAAGGUACUGGCUGUGCCAGAAUUAUUUAGUUGCAUAGGAUCCUUCCAAAUGUAAUUACUGAUUCACUGUUGGAUUAACAAGAAUUAAAUUACUUCAUAAUACAGUAUUCCAACUGUUCGAUAAAAGCCCUUAAUGAAAUCUUCCAUAGAUUACUUUGCAAAGUUCAUAAAAUUACUCAAAAGCAUUGUUGCAUAGUCCGUACAUAGAGAUGGUCGAUUAUCUUAAUUAUGUCUAGAUUUAUUUACGACACACACACACACACAUCACAAAAUCACACAUACUGACUAAUAAGGUUCCCGAAAGCCGGCAUUAUUAGGCGCCAUGGUGGCCGUGAAAUACCAUGAGACGAUAUCAUGGGUGGUGGGUCCGUCUAGUCUGGUGGCGGCGGAGAGCCCUACCUGAACCUGCUAAGGAAGAAAGCCGCUCAAAUCAUACUCAUAGCUGACUUCAAACGUCUUCGAGCCGGCGGUGGCACGGACGGCGAUCUACUUUGUGGAGGCGGCGUAGUUGAUCCUCGCCGUCACCUGCUGCUCGAGUAUGGAGCCGUCGACCUCCGUCGUGUUUCGGGAUGACCUAGACCCGAUGUCGAUGCCGAUGUGGGGAUAGUUCGGAUCCCACGCGCUGUUGACGUAGGUGUCGAACUCGACGGCAAAUACCGAGGGGUUGCUGCCGGAGGAGCCGAAGAUUCCGAGGUUGGCCCCGCUGGAGCCGGUGGGGAUGGUGGAGCGGCGAGAUUGGUGAUGCUGGGUGUGGUGAUGAAGUUUACGGUGGUUUCAAAGUCGACUUGGCCACCGGCUUGGGAGAAUUGGACCGGGUUCGUGUACAAGACCCGGCCGACACUACCGAUCUGCGGUCGCCUUGGUAGGUGAGGUCGGUCGGCUGGUUGUCCCAGAAGUUAUAGGCGAAGGCCGUUGAUCGGGACUUCGCCCUGUUGGUGGCGACGGCGAGAAGAAGGGCGAUGGAGAUUAGGGUUUGGAGAAGGUUGGCCAUGGCUUAGUUGUGCAGUGAAUGAUGUCUACUACUUGCUCCUAUUUAUAAUGAUCGAAAAUAUCUACUACUUACCUACCACAGAUCCACAUCAGGGGCCCUGGAUGGGGUGGUCGACUACAUAAGCCCAAAAAAAUAAGGGCUCGGAAAAUAUAUAGAUCCAUGUAAGUAUUAUAUAUAUGUAUAAAAUAAUUAAAAGCCAACUAAUGAUUGAAUUGAUUAACUUGGCGCAGUGGAAAAAGGACAUUUUUAAUUCCUCUUAAUUACCAAUAUUUUAUUUAGUGACCAAUUUUUUUGUUUAGAUAUAGGGCCCAGCCCCUAUUUUGAUAAAUUAAGUGUAUGUAUUUCAAAUUAACAUUAUUUUAAGUUGUCGAAUUUUUUUGUUAAGAUUUAGGGUCCAGCCCCUAUUUUGUUAAAUUAACUUUAUUUUAAGUGAAUGACAUAAUUAUUAAUAUAUUUAUUAAUUAUUAUGUAAUUUGAUAAAAAAAUGUUUUAAAUAAUUUUAGUUUAUAAUUAAUUUAUUUCUCAAUUAUAAAUAAAUGGCCUAAAUUAAAAAAUUCGCAAAGGGCCUAUGUUCUCUUAGCCCUACCCUUGCACUGUUGCACAUGGUAUAUAUAUCUAUUCUAUGAAUAUAAGUGAUUAUUUUAUAAACCACGUGAAAGCACUUGUUCCCACUAGCACUAUAAAAGCAAUAAAUACAACGGAAAGAAAAUAAAUUACAAUUGAAUACAUUAGGAGAAAAAUUACUUCUAACCUAUGGAAUUACUAACAACGAUACUUAUACCAAAGCUAAAUUGGACCAACUAACUGUACACUCUUGUAUUAUAUCAACCUACCAGACCUUAGUAUUCACGAGUCUCCCACAGUCUAGACUGAUUCACAAUAUAUACCAACAUUGGAACAAGUUCAGUAAUACACUCUAUUUAUAUAUAUUAUUAUAUACACAAAAAUGCAUGGCUGCUGUGGUAUUACGGAAGGAUCGAGAAUUACUCGAUCCUUGGGAAAAGGUUCAAAUGAAACCUUUAUUAUUACUCUCCGUCCCCCAAAUAAUAUCAUAUCCGAUUUGGGAUAUUACCCCACCACUAAUAAUACUUUAUUUAUUCUAACUUCUCAAUCUUUCACCAUUCUCAAUACUAAUUAUAACACAUUUUCAUCACUUUCAAUACUAAUUAUAAUUUCUUUUCUCCACUGCUAAUACGUACACUUAACAAUUUUUCCUUAAAACCAGUGUCGUCCCCUACUAAGAAGUUAUUUGGGGGACGUAGGGAGUAUUUUUUAAUGAUAUGGCAUCCAAAUAUGUUGUGACAAUCCAGUGAGCAAUAUCAACUUUUUGGAGCUGAAAACCGAUGUGAGGUACAACUAAUACACAAUAUGUUGUGGCAAUCCAGUAAUAUACCCUAAGGAUGCGUCAUCUUUUGUUGUAAAUUUAUCAUGGAAAAAUGAGGGAUAAACAAAAUUUCACCCAUUAAAUCCUUCAUUUUUUCCCUCAUUUCUUACAAAAUAGAAUUUGACCCUUACUCAUUUCUCAUUUUCACUGCAAAGGGGGGCUAAUAUUAUCUCUCUAUUUUUGGUAUAAUGAAGAAUUUGAUACGUAAUUACAAUUAAUUAUAAUGAAGUGUGUAUUUUAGUUGCUCAUAUUCUUGGAUUAUUUAUGCUUUAAUGAAACGAUCCACUGCCUUUAACAUUUUGGCAUUUUAAAGUAAACGCCGAAAUGCAACGAUCCACUGCCUUUUAAGUAAACACCCUUGCUAACCCCUGCAUGCGUUUUUUCAUCAAACACUUGGGUUCAUUCUUUUAGGCAUUUUAUCAAACAGUUGUGCUCAGCCUCAUCCUUUUGAUCACAUUCCCAUAUCUCUCCUUAUAUGAAACCGCAUUUUCUAUUUCUCAUAUAUUUCCUAUAUAAUAUUUCCAUCAUUUCUAGCUCAACAAUAAUUCUUCUAGCAAAAUUAUCAUUUCAAAUGCACUCUUUUCCUUUUCUACUUUCUCUUCUGCAUAACAGAAAUACUAAUCCACCAUAAAAUAAUCAUAACUUUUUCUUAAUGAUACGAUGAGGGCACAAAGUUGAGAUGAUAAAAUCAUACAUAUUGGCGAAUGUUGCCGCCGGCUUCCUCUGACUUUUGGAUGCUGAGGGGAGGGGUGGCGGUGAAAUACCAGGAGUUGAUGAUGAAUUUGAUGGUUGUUUCCAUGUCCACCUGCCGCAGAGACCGAGAUACGAUUUUAGAAACAAACGGCAAAAUUACAAUUUCACAUAUAAAAAAUAAAAGACAAUUAAUAAAGCGCAUAAUAUUGGUAAGAUGCUUCCAACCAAUAGGUCGGGAUUGUAUAUCGUGUGAGUGUGUUUUUCAUUUUUUAGUAAUAACAUGUCGUGCUCGGGGCUUUUUUCCGUAUCUGCCCCUGCUUCCCGUCGUCGUGCCCGACUCGUCGGUUUUUGUCAUGCGGAGGUAGGUGGUGGCGUCGGUGAAGUUGGCGUCGCCUUCCAAGCGUAGGCCUUCCGAAUGUGGCGGCUUUUGGUAGAAGUCGUAGGUGAAGGAGACUGCAUCGCCGACCGACACGGUGGCGAGGAGGAGGGCGAUGGAGGAGAGGAGAGGAAUUAAGGUUUGGAGAAGGUUGGCCAAUUUGAUUAAAUGUAUUUGGAUGUAGUGGAUGAUGGUGUAUCGAUCUCUUGCUCCUAUUUAUAGUUGUAAAUAUAUAUUAAUAAUGGUAUCAUUCAAUCAUUAUACUUUAGGCCGGCCGGGCCGGAUCCUCUAUUCCAAAUUCUAUGUCUCAUUGUUCAUAUUCACUAUUAAUUUCACUAUUUCAAUAAUUAAAAAAAUUCAUAGAGUUUGGGGCAGAGGAUCCCGUUUGAAUCCCACAUGGAUCCUCUGUCCCAUAACUUAUUGUGUUCCUUCCCAUUAUUAAUCUCGAUAUUAUAUUUCUACUUUGGAGUUAAUUCAUUAUAAACCCAUGAAAGAUCAGACGAAAUUCAUCCAAUAAACAUUUAUAAAUUUAUAUUUAAAUUUUGUUUCGCGGGUAUCUGAUAGAUAAUAGGUAUUCGUGGGUGGCGAAUUUGGGUAGCAUUUGAUAUUCAUAGAUAGUUUCAUGAUUAAAAUCCAAUAUUCAUUUAGUUCACGGGUAUGGUAUGACAGCCACUAUCUGUGUACGUCAUACCUGAUUGCCAGUAUGACAAAUAUAAAAGUUGUGAGAUGCACAGCAGCUUAAUUAUUCAAAUAGAAAUAUCAUCACAUGUGCAUUGAUAUUUCACAAAAUAAAUACUACUACUAAUAAAUACUCCCUCCGUCCACCAAAGAUAUGCCACUUUACUUUCGGUACGAGUUUUAAUAAAAUGUGAGUGAAGUUGGUAGUGGAGUAAGGGUCCCACUUUAAAUGUGAGUGGAAUGGUAUGGACCUUACUACUAAAAAUGGAUGUGGCAUAUUUUUCGUGGACGAACGAGAAAGAAAAUUGUGGCAUAUCUUUGGUGGACGGAGGGAGUAGUACUCAUUGAUAAUGCAUGCCAACACAUGGUUCUUGCAAGUCAUAUAUAUACCUCAUCAGCAAUAUAGUAAAAUGAUGAUUUGACAACCAGAUUAAGACACCAAUUAUUCUUGUCGGGACACAGACAUAUAUGCAUAUAGAAUUAAUAUUAUUUACUAUUUCGUUUAUACACGUGAAUUAUGCUUUGGAUGCAACAUCGCCACGUCUCUUUCAUUUAUACUUCUCUAGUGUAUUGCGGACAAAAUAGUUAGUGUCUUUAAGAAAUUAAAAAUUUUCAAAUACAUAAGAAAGAAUAAUUAAUCUAAUUGGUGCGCCGGCAACUAAAACUUUUUUCAAUUCACUUUAUAUUUUAUAUACUCCCUCCGUCCACGAUUUAAUGCCCCAUUUUAGUGUGGGCACGGAGACUAAGAAAACUGAAAAAGGUGAUGUGAAUGAAAUAUAAGGGUAGUUGACUAAAGUGAUAAAGAUGCUGUGAGUGGGUUCACUAGUGAUAAAGUAUAGGAAAUAUAGAAUAUAAAAAUGAUAAAGGUGUUUUAAGUUGGGUCCAUUAGUGGCAAAGAGUAAUAAAUAUAGAAAAAGAAGAGUAAAAAAGUACAAAAAGCAUAAUAGGGCUUUAAUUUGUGGACAAAAAAUUAAGAGCAAGUAGGGCUUUAAAUUGUGGACGGAGGGAGUAUUUAACAUUACAAGUCAAUUGCUUGCAGAAUUUGAGCUUGUCUCCCGUGAUGGAGACCUCACCAUGCGGCAACCCGUGCCUGCGCCUGCCUUUUUUCUUCCCGUCUUGCUCUAUCCAGAUAUUAUACGUGAUCCAACUCUUUCCAGAUAUUAUACGUAAAUGAUAAUUUUACUAACAAAAAUUACACUUUUUAUCAAUAACAAAUGAAACUAUGCAUACAAAACAGGAGGUAAAUGAUAUUUUUCUUAAUAACAACUGAUACUUUUUCAAUGCAAAUAAUACUUCGCAAAUGAUAUUUUAAUAUAAAAGUAAAUGAUACUUUGUAUAAAAAUAAAUGUUAUAUUACAAAUGACACUUUUAAUGCAUACCAAUGACACUUUUAAUAACAAAAAUUGAGAAAAAAAAAUUAGAAUUCGGCCUUAAUUAAAAUUUGGACAACAUUUAUUUGGGCAAAGAAGAAAAACACCUGAAUUUUUUUUUUUCCUUUUUUGAGAGAGAAAAACUCAUGAAAUUUCAUGCAAAAGGUAAUGCAUAGCCAACCGGGCUCAAUCAUCUUUCGGCGGUUUUGGUUUGAUUCUUCCAACAUCUAGGGUAGCAUUCACACAAAAUCAACUCGUGUUCAAAAAUCUGAAAUUAAAAUUAACGAUGUGUCUCAGUAUAGAGAUAAGAACAUACCCCUCAAAUGGUUCGAGCCAAGGUCUAAUUCCUUCAGCAGUGUGAUAUUCCAAAUUUGAGUAGGCAUAUAUCCGCCAAAGUUGUUGUCUGACAAGCGAAUACUCUCAAGUUGUGGACAUUGGUACAAACUCGAUGGUAUAUCUCCUUCCAAAUUGUUAAAGGAUAGGUUCACUAGUUUAAGUCUUUGAAGGUUAUUGUACGUGCNUAGACAACAAGAAAUAUCUAUUGUCUAUUCUAUGACAAAAAAAUUAAAAAAUUCUAAUAUAUCUGCAUCCCUGUAUUACAAUACCAAUAUAUAUGAAAAAAUAAAAAUAAUUAAAAAUCAAAUAAUCAAACAAUACUUAUAAACCACUAAUACUCACAAUCAAAUAUUUACACAUCAGUGUAAAUAUUGGGUUCGAGUCCUCUGCGUGUGUUGAUCAAGCGGUAAGGGGUUAAUGCCUAAGGUCAAAGGUCUGGGAUUCGAGUCCCCUGUGGUGUAGCCUUUUAAUUUCGUUAUUUAAUAUUGUAAAUUUAUAAAAAAAAAAAAGUAUAUUUACACAUCAACAAUUGUAUUAUCUUUAAUACGCCUUCAUUCAUCUAAUAAAAAAAAUCUCUAAUAAAAUCUCCAACUAACUCCGGUCAUGAUCAUCUCUUGAAGGCGGAGGAAGGUGGAGUCCGUCGGGAAAUGGGUACUGCCUUGAUAGAUGAGAUCUUUCGGCUGGUCGCCCCAGAAGUCGUAGGUGAAGGACGUCGUUUGGGACAACGCCGUGUUGGAAACGGAGAGGAGGAGGACGAUGGAGGAGAGGAGAGGAGUUAAGGUUUGAAGAAGCUGGUUGGCCAUGGCUUAAUUGAUUUAGAUUUAGAGAUGUGGUGGAUGAUGGUGGUAUCGAUCUCUUGCACCUAUUUAUACUAGUAUGGUUCAUGCCUGUUAAUAAUUGUAUAUAUCAAUCAUCGUGCAUCUAUCCCAAAUUAUAUGUCUUAUUAUUCACUAAUUAGAUGGAUUAAAUCCUGAUUAGUAACCAUAAAAUUAAACUGUCAAUGAGGCCUUGCUCUAGUGGCAAAGCUGUGACACCGAAUAACUUUUCUUUGUGAAAUGUCUUGGGUUCAAUCUCGCCUGCAUGCGGUGAUGUGUGUCCAUUUUAGGUGGUGUGGUAUUCUUGUCUGCGUGCGGUGUUGUAUUGUUUAGUGUUGAGGUCCCACAUGCAGAGCGUUCUUGCCUGUGUACGUGUCACAGCCCAAAACCAUUUAUUUUCUUUACAAAUUUUAUAUAUGAAAAUUAUUUAAUUUUUAAGUUAUAGAGUUUUUGAAAUAUAUAUAGUAUCAAUUUUAUGUUAACUUAGUCGUGUCCCUAAUUAAAAGAAUGACUUUAAAAUAAAACUUAAGCCUUAAAAAUUUAAUCUACAUUCAUAUAUAACUGAAAUUACAUGCAUGUCUAAAUAUUAUUUAUAAUUAUCAAUAACAAGAUUAAUGAUUCUAUAUCUCUAUGUUUAUACAUGUAUUCACGUAUGACAUAGUAUAUAUUAGCUAUUAAGUUAAAAACUAAUAAAAUACUACACUUUUGCAUAGGAUAUAUAUUUAAUUAGUAGUAGGAUAGGACACGUGUAUUAAUUUUAAGGGCAAGUAAUCAAACUUUUGAAUGAUUCAUCAUGCUUAAAAAAAAAAGAGACCUAGAUAGAUGAUUCAUCAGAUUCAAAAACAAGUAUAAAUAGACUUCGGGUUUGAAAUUUUAAUUAAUUUGCAACAACAAUUCAAACUGACUGUAUUAAGGUAAGUAGUUACAGAUUUCAUACACAUAUUAUAUGAUUUCGCACACAUAUUAAGGUAAGUAUAUAUAAAUAUUUUUUAAAAUCAUAUAUUAUAUAAUAAUUAUAUUUAAGUUUUAUAUUAUUCUUUAUAAACUAUUGUUUCAUUCUAUAUAAUUAGGUGUGGCACGACUAGGACGUAACUUUCUAUUGAAUUUCUCAAGUUAAUCUUAGAGUUCAAGUUUCAGGUGUGAGAUUUAUUUAAAUACAUGUCGUACGUGGUUAUUUAUUGUCCAUUUUAAUAAGAUGUGUUUACCAUAUGUGUUAUGACGCAUAUUUUUAGGAUAUCACUAGGUGCCCAUAAAUAGGAUCCAGGACUUCACCGUCCUUGGAUUGCCACAAUGCGAUUUGAGGUUUAUUUUGAGGAUGUCGUUAGGGGCCCGUACAUAGGGUCCAGGACUUUAAUAGUCAUUGGGUUGCCAUAGUGCAAAUAUUGAGGAUAUAUAUGAAGUGACCGUAUGUGUUACCGUUUCAUUAACGUGGACAAUGAUUGCAUGUUUAAGAGACAAUAACCAAUUUUUCAGACAUUUGUGAACAAAAUGAAGCAUGUUUAGAGAUCCUUAAUACAGGUGUACGAAAUGAUGGAUAAAUAAGUUUGUGAAACAAAUUUCACCAUACCUAACCCCACAAUUAUUUGCGGUCGAAUUUCCUCGUCACAGGAAAAAGAGAUGAUGACAAAAGGGAAAAAAUUAAUUAACAAAGUAGAAGAUGCAUGACAACUGUAAAAGAAAAAUAAUGCUACUAAUUAAAUAGUCCAAACUUCAUACGUUUCAUAUCAUAAGUGGCAGUUCUAUUUUUUUUUUUGCGAAUGUGAACAAAAUAACGAAUAAUUUUUAAAGUAAUAGUAAUAAGGAGAUGUGUUUUGACAGAAAACGACAUGAGCGGCCUAAAAAUAAGAGGGAAAAAGAUAAUCAUAUAAAUAUUCAAAAUCAAACGGAUUGGCAUGUAUUCAUCAUUUUUUAUUUUUUAUUUUGAUAAUUUAACAGUACUCCCUCCGUCCGUCAAAAGUAGACCACUUUGGUUGGGCACGGGAUUUAAUAAAAUUAGUGAUGAUUUUGAUGUAGUAGAGAAAGAGUUCCACCACUUUAUGAGAUGUGUGGUUGAGAUUGAAUUUGUUGUGAUUUUUUUGUAAAUAAAGAGUGUUUGUAAGGAUAAAAGAUUAAAGUGGGUGGUGGGACCAUUUCCAUAAAAGGAAAGUGGUCUACUAUUUGCGGACGCCCAAUAUAGUAAAAGUAGUCUACUUUUGGCGGACGGGGAGAGUAUUAAAUAAAUAAAUUUAAAGGUUGCACCCCUUACUGCUUGGCUUUUAGAUUAUGUUAUAAUAAUAAAAUUAACAGCACGUUUACAAUAUAAAAUUAAUUAUGAUAAAUACAAUAUAUUAAUAAUAAAUACUCAAUUACCUCUUAACAUAAUUCGCGCAUCAUGGCUUUUAGCUUAUAUUAUAAAGAUAUAAUAUGUUGUCUAUAAUAAUCGACGGAAGGUAAUAGACAACAUGUUUUAUAUGUUGUCUAUAAUAAUAUAGACAGUAGAUCUAGUGUUAUAGAUAACAAUUAAUACUUGUUGUCUAUAUGAUGAUAGACACCAAAAAUCUCUGUUGUCUAUUCUAUGACAAAAAAAUUUAAAAAAAUUCUAAUAUAUUUACAUCCCUGUAUUACAAUACCAAUAUAUAUGAAAAAAUAAAAAUAAUUAAAAAUCAAAUAAUCAAACAAUACUUAUAAACCACUAAUACUCACAAUCAAAUAUUUACACAUCAACAACUGUAUUAUCUUUAAUUACGCCUUCAUUUAUCUAUUAAAAAAAAUCUCUAAUAAAAUCUCUAACUAACUCCGGUCAUCAUCUCUUGAAGGCUUAGAAAAUGUCCAAAUACAGCGGCACAUGCUCAUUAUUGUGUGAGCGAUGAGAACUUUGCGCUGAACCUAUAAAGUAACUAUACUUAACUGGUAAAGUAAUUGUAUCCCGUGAAUCUAAAGGAAGACUACACACGUUGAUAGAGUUUGAAAGAAAAGAAUAAAGAGAAUGAAAAUCCAAAGAAUUUGCUUCUUCCGUUGAACAAUCCCUACACAACAUUGAAAUAUCAAUGAAAAUAAUGGCUAUCGUAUACUCCCUCCAUCCAUGAAAGAACUUCAUAGGAGGGAGUGACACGGGUUUUAAGAAAAAAUAUUGUUAAGUGUAUUGAGAGUGGAUAAAAGGUAGUUGAGUGUAUUGGGAGUGGUGAAAAUGUGUUAUAGUUAAUAUUGAGAGUUGUGAAAAGUGAAAAGUAAGAGGAUUAUAAGUGGUGGGGUAUAGUCCAAAAAUAGGUAGGAAGUUCUUUUGUGGACGUCCCAAAAAGGAAAGAUAUGAAGUUCUUUCGUGGACGGAGGGAGUAUUAUUUUGCAGCAGCAACCACGUUUGAAAACUCGAUCCCUCUGUUCUUGAAUUUGUGAAAUUUCCGACUGAUUUAUUAGAUUCACCAUUUAUUUCAGUUUAAUUAGUCUAUAUAUAGAUAUUUCUUAUAUUAUUAAAUUGUUAACCUCAUGGUAGAUUUCAAGAUUUGAAAAUUCAACAAAGAGCUUGAGAAUUAUUGAGAUUGGAAGGGGAAGAUGAAACAUAAUUGGGUGAAAUUAGAAACCAAUUAAAGUCACAAGAUUGAACAAAAACAUAACUUAAAAACACAAAAUAAGCAAAUCGUAGAUGCAGUAUCUUGCAAGAAAAAGUUCAUAUUCCCAAGGCUAUGAUGAGCACGAAUUAGGGUGUGUCUGCAUUUUAUCCCUCUAAAUAGAGGAAUAACAAAAUUUUAUUCUUUAAAUGUUUGCUUUCUUAUCACACAUUCUACACAAACACCAUUUUUUCUUCCUUAUUUUCACUUCAAGGAGGANUAAUAUUAUCCCUCCAAUUUUGGUGUGAUAAUAUUAUCUCUUCUUGAAGUGAAAAUAAGGAAGAAAAAAUGGUAUUUGUGUAGGAUGUGGGAUAAGAAAGCAAACAUUUAAAGGUAUAAAUUUUUGUUAUUCCUCAUUUAGAGGAAUAAAAAGCAAACACACAUUAGAGUCUACUUACAAUUUAGGCGCAGGCUGUGCGAGAAUUACUUAGUCGAAUAGGAUCCUAAGUAUUUAUAUUUCUCAUGUUCUUGUGUAUUUUUUUACUGAUUCACUAUUGGAUUAACAAGAAUUAUCUUACUUUAAAUUUCUUGCUUUAAAAAAAAAAAAGAAUUAUCUUACUUCAUGUAUGGUAUGCCAACUGUUCGAUAAAGGUCCUUUUAGAAAUCUUCUAUUGAUUACCUUGCGAAGACCACAAAACUAGACACACCCAAAAGCAUUCUUGCAUAGUUUAUACAUAGAGAUGGCCGAUUGAUGAUCGUCUUAUUUGUAGACUUAACGCGAGCAGACUCGAUCGCUUAGUCCUUAUUGAUUUACGACACACAUGCUCACACACACACAUACACACAUCACAAAAUCACACAAAUUGACGGAUAAUGUUGCCGUUCAGCUCCUUCCUGAACCUCACCGCGGCAUUUUUCUGCACCAUAGUGGCCGUGAAAUACCACGAGACGAUGUCAUGGACGGCGACGUGUUGUCCGGUGGCGGCGGAUAGCCCGACCUGAACCUGCUGAGGAACAAAGUCGCUCAAAUCGUACUCAUAGUUGACAUCAAAUGUCUGCGAGCCGGCGGUGACUUUCACGGAGAUCAUCCUUGUGGCUCCGACGUAGUUGAUCCGCGCAGUCACCUGCUGCCCGAGUAUGGAGUUGUCGACCUUCGUCGUGUUGCUGGAUGCCCUAGAGCCGAAGUCGAUGCCGAUGUGGGGAUAGAGCGGAUCCCACGCGCCGUUGACGUAGGUGUCGAUUUCGACGGCGAAGACCGAGGGGCUGUUGCCGUUGGAGCCAAAGAUUCCGAGGUUGGCUCCGUUGGAGCCAGGGGGGAUGGUGGAACCGACGGGGGCAAUGAAGAAGGCGAGGCCGUCGGCAGGCUCGUUGUCGGCGCCCGGGGUGAUGAUGAAGUUCACAGUGGUUUCGAAGUCGACCUGCCCACCGGACUGCGAGAAUUGGACCGGGUUCGAGUGCAAGACGCGGCCGACUUGUGAGGGCUGUGCGUCUGUGAGGCGGAGGAAGGUGGAGUCCGUCGGGAAAUGGGCGCUGCCUUGAUAGAUGAGAUCUUUCGGCUGGUCGCCCCAGAAGUCGUAGGUGAAGGACGUCGUUUGGGACAACGCCGUGUUGGAAACGGCGAGGAGGAGGGCGAUGGAGGCGAGGAGAGGAGUUAAGGUUUGAACAAGCUGGUUGGCCAUGGCUUAAUUGAUUUAGAUUUAGAUUUAGAGAUGUGGUGGAUGAUGGUGGCCAGGUAUCGAUCUCUUGCACCUAUUUAUACUAGUAUGGUUCAUGCCUGUUAAUAAUUGUAUAUAUCAAUCAAUCAUCGUGCAUCUAUCCCAAAUUAUAUGUCUUAUUAUUCACUAAUUAGAUGGAAUAAAUCCUAAUUAGCAAUCUUAAAAUUACACCGCCAAUGAGGCCUUGCUCUAGUGGUAAAGCUGUGGCACCGAAUAACUUUUCUUUGUGAAAGGUCUUGGGUUCAAUCUCGCCUGCAUGCGGUGAUGUUUGUCCAUUUUAGAUGGUGUGGUAUUCUUGCCUGCGUGCGGUGUUGUAUUAUUUAGUCUUAGGCGUUCUUGCCUGUGUGCAUAUCACUGUGUGACAAUUAAAAGAAUGACUUUAAAAUAAAAGUUAAGCCUUAAAAAUUUAAUCUACAUUCAUAUAUAACUGAAAUUACAUGCAUGUCUAAUUUUUUUAAUAUCAUAACAAGAUAAGAUUUAUUAAAUAAUUCAGAUGCAUAAAUAAAAAGUUAAUCUAUAAACACAGUAUAGAUAUAUUAUCAAUGAUAGGCCGUGUAUAAGUCUUAAUCUGUAAAACUAUAUCAUCCCAGCCUUAAACGACUACCAUUCCUGCUUUCCCAGAGCAACCACACUGUUCCCACCCACAAAGCUUUAAGCAGUACAUGCAUGUCUAAAUAUUAUUUAUAAUUAUCAAUAACAAGAUUAAUGAUUCUAUAUCUCUAUGUUUAUACAUAUAUUCACGUAUGACAUAGUAUAUAUUAGCUAUUAAGUUAAAAACUAAUAAAAUACUACAGUUUUGCAUAGGAUAUAUAUUUAAUUAGUAGUAGGAUAGGACACGUGUAUUAAUUUUAAGGGCAAGUAAUCAAACUUUUGAAUGAUUCAUCAUGCUUAAAAAAAAAAAGAGACCUAGAUAGAUGAUUCAUCAGAUUCAAAAACAAGUAUAAAUAGACUUCGAGUUUGAAAUUUUAAUUAAUUUGCAACAACAAUUCAAACUGACUGUAUUAAGGUAAGUAGUUACAGAUUUCAUACACAUUAUAUGAUUUCGCGCACAUACGUAUGUAUAUAUAAAUAUUUUUUAAAAUCAUAUACUCCCUCCGUCCCCAAAAUAAGUUCCUCUUUGGGGACGGCACGGAUUUUAAGGAAAAGUGGUAAAGUGUAUUAAUAGUGGAGAAAAAUAUGUUAUAAUUAGUAUUGGAAGUUGUGAAAAGGUGAAAAAGUGUUAUAAUUAGUAUUGGGAGUGGUGAAAAAGUGAAAAGUAAGAAUAAAUAAAGUAUUAUUAGUGGUGGGGUAGUUGUCCAAAAAUGGAAAAAAAGAAAGAGGAACUUAUUUGGGGGACAUCCCAAAAUGGAAAAAGAGGAACUUAUUUCAGGGACGGAGGGAGUAUUAUAUAAUAAUUAUAUUUAAGUUUUAUAUUAUUCUUUAUAAACUAUUGUUCCAUUCUAUAUAAUUAGGUGUGGCACGACUAGGACGUAACUUUCGAUUGAAUUUCUCAAGUUAAUUUUCAAGUUCAAGUUUCAGGUGUGAGAUUUAUUUAAAUACAUGUCAUGAUUAUUCAUUGUCCAUUUUAAUAGUAUGUGUUUACCAUAUGUGUUAUGACGCAUAUUUUGAGGACAUCGCUAGGAGCCCAUAAAUAGGGUCCAGGACUUCACCGUCCUUGGAUUGCCACAAUGCGAUUUGAGGUUUAUUUUGAGGAUGUCGUCAGGGGCCCGUAAAUAGGGUCCAGGACUUUAAUAGUCAUUGGGUUGCCACAGUGCGAAUAUUGAAGAUAUAUAUGAAGUGACCGUAUGUGUUACCGUUUCAUUAACGUGGACAAUGAUUGCAUGUUUAAGAGACAAUAACCAAUUUUUCAGACAUUUGUGAACAAAAUGAAGCAUGUUUAGAGAUCCUUAAUAAAGGUGUACGAAAUGAUGGAUAAAUAAGUUUGUGAAACAAAUUUCACCAUACCUAACCCCACAAUUAUUUGCGGUCGAAUUUCCUCGUCACAGGAAAAAGAGAUGAUGACAAAAGGGCAAAAAUUAAUUAACAAAGUAGAAGAUGCAUGACAACUGUAAAAGAAAAAUAAUGCUACUAAUUAAAUAGUCCAAACUUCAUACGUUUCAUAUCAUAAGUGGCAGUUCUAUUUUUUUUUUGCGAAAGUGAACAAAAUAACGAAUAAUUUUUAAAGUAAUAGUAAUAAGGAGAUGUGUUUUGACAGAAAACGACAUGAGCGGCCUAAAAAUAAGAGGGAAAAAGAUAAUCAUAUAAAUAUGGGUUAAUUGCCUCUAAAUACACCACCUUUCCUUGAAUUCUACAAUUGCACAUCACCUUUAAAAUCCGCCCUUAAAUACACCACCUUUCCUUGAGUUCUACAAUUGCACAUCACCUUUAAAUCCGCCCCAAAAUACAUCAUCUUUAUAUUUUUUCUGUUUUUGCACAUGACUAAAAAAUUCUCAAGAAAUAAAUUAAAGUGUUAAUUUAUAAAUUUAAAUAUCUUUUUAGCAGCGAAAACAUAAUAAAAUAAAAUUCUUUAUAAAGUUUAAAAUCAUAUAUAUAUAUAUAUAUAUAUAAGUAUUUUCGUAAAGAAAUAAAUUCUCUAAUAAAUUUUUAGAAAGAACUUGAAUUAAAAAAAUAAACAAGUCAUGACAUUAAGAAAAUAAAAUGAAAUUUUUAUUUUAAUAAAUUUCACACGAAUUCGAUAUAAUUUGGAAUUUAGAGUUACAAUAAUCAGAAGUACCACAUGAAUAAUAUAAUGAGUUUGAAAGAAAUUUUUUUUAAAGAGGUUCGACACGCCCAUUCGACUUUCCACGCGCCUCCAAUGUCAUUUACCUGAAAUAUUAANUAUAUAAGUAUUUUUCGUAAAGAAAUAAAUUCUCUAAUAAAUUUUUAGAAAGAACUUGAUUAAAAAAUAAACAAGACAUGACAUUAAGAAAAUAAAAUGAAACUUUUAUUUUAAUAAAUUUCACACGAAUUCGAUAUAAUUUGGAAUUUAGAGUUACAAUAAUAAAAAGAACCACAUAAAUAAUAUAAUCAGUUUGAAAGAAAUAUAUAUAUAUUUUUUUAAAGAGGUUCGACGCGCCCAUUCGACUCUCCACGCGCUACCAAUGUCAUUACCUGAAAUACUAAAUAUGGGAUAAGCAUACAUAAUAUACUUAGUGUGGGAACAUGCAAUUAUUGUCCACGUUAAUAAAAUAGUAACACAUACGAUCAUAACAUUCAAAACGACACAAUUUUGCCAAUAUGGAAGCCACGUCAUUUAAAGUGGUAACACCCUAAUCUAACUAAAGUGUUAAAUAUAAAUUUAAAGCGGAAAUAUAAUAAAAUAAAGUUCUUUAUAAAAAUAAAUAAAGAAUUUUAUUUUAUUAUAUUUCCGCUGCUAAAAAAGAUAUUUAAAAUUUAUAAAUUAACACUUUAAUUUAUUUCUUGAGGAUUUUUAAGUCAUGUGCAAAAACAGAAAAAAAAUAUAAAGGUGAUGUAUUUUGGGGCGGAUUUAGAAUUCAAGGAAAUGUGGUGUAUUUAGGGGCGGAUUUUAAAGGUGAUGUGCAAUUGUAGAAUUCAAGGAAAGGUGGUGUAUUUAGGGGAAAUUAACCCUAUAAAUAUUCAAAAUCAAACGGAUUGGCAUGUAUUCAUCAUUUUUUAUUUUUUAUUUUGAUAAUUUAACAGUAUUAAAUAAAGAAAUUUAUAGGCUGCGUCCCUUACUGCUUGGCUUUUAGAUUAUGUUGUAAUAAUAAAAUUAAAAGCACGUUUACAAUAUAAAAUUAAUUAUGAUAAAUACAAUAUAUUAAUAAUAAAUACUCAAUUACCUCUUAACAUAAUUCGCGCAUCAUGGCUUUUAGCUUAUAUUAUAAAGAUAUAAUAUGUUGUCUAUAAUAAUCGACGGAAGGUAAUAGACAACAUGUUUUACUUCUUGUCUAUAAUAAUAUAGACAGUAGAUCUAGUGUUAUAGAUAACAAUUAAUACGUGUUGUCUAUAUGAUGAUAGACACCAAAAAUCUCUGUUGUCUAUUCUAUGACAAAAAAAUUUAAAAAAAUUCUAAUAUAUUUACAUCCCUGUAUUACAAUACCAAUAUAUAUGAAAAAAUAAAAAUAAUUAAAAAUCAAAUAAUCAAACAAUACUUAUAAACCACUAAUACUCACAAUCAAAUAUUUACACAUCAACAAUUGUAUUAUCUUUAAUUACGCCUUCAUUUAUCUACUAAAAAAAAUCUCUAAUAAAAUCUCUAACUAACUCCGGUCAUCAUCUCUUGAAGGCUUAGAAAAUGUCCAAAUACAGCGGCACAUGCUCAUUAUUGUGUGAGCGAUGAGAACUUUGCGCUGAACCUAUAAAGUAACUAUACUUAACUGGUAAAGUAAUUGUAUCCCGUGAAUCUAAAGGAAGAAUAAACACGUUGAUAGAGUUUGAAAGAAAAGAAUAAAGAGAAUGAAAAUCCAAAGAAUUUGCUUCUUCCGUUGAACAAUCCCUACACAACGUUGAAAUAUCAAUGAAAACAAUGGCUAUCCUAUACUCCCUCCAUCCAUGAAAGAACUUCCUAGGAGGGAGUGACACGGGUUUUAAGAAAAAAUAUUGUUAAGUGUAUUGAGAGUGGAUAAAAGGUAGUUGAGUGUAUUGGGAGUGGUGAAAAUGUGUUAUAGUUAAUAUUGAGAGUUGUGAAAAGUGAAAAGUAAGAGGAUUAUAAGUGGUGGGGUAUAGUCCAAAAAUAGGUAGGAAGUUCUUUUGUGGACGUCCCAAAAAGGAAAGAUAUGAAGUUCUUUCGUGGACGGAGGGAGUAUUAUUUUGCAGCAGCAACCACGUUUAAAAACUCGAUCCCUCUAUUCUUGAAUUUGUGAAAUUUCCGACUGAUUUAUUAGAUUCACCAUUUAUUUCAGUUUAAUUAGUCUAUAUAUAGAUAUUUCUUAUAUUAUUAAAUUGUUAACCUCAUGGUAGAUUUCAAGAUUUGAAAAUUCAACAAAGAGCUUGAGAAUUAUAGAGAUUGGAAGGGGAAGAUGAAACAUAGUUGGGUGAAAUUAGAAACCAAUUAAAGUCAGGAGAUUGAAGAAAAACAUAACUUAAAAACACAAAAUAAGCAAAUCGUAGAUGCAGUAUCUUGCAAGAAAAAGUUCAUAUUCCCAAGGCUAUGAUGAGCACGAAUUAGGGUGUGUCUGCAUUUUAUCCCUCUAAAUGGAGGAAUAAUAAAAUUUUAUGCCUUUAAAUGUUUGCUUUCUUAUCACACAUUCUAAACAAACACCAUUUUUUCUUCCUUAUUUUCACUUCAAUGAGGGAUAAUAUUAUCCCUCCAAUUUUGGUGUGAUAAUAUUAUCCCUCCUACAAGUGAAAAUAAGGAAGAAAAAAUGGUACUCCCUUCGUCCCAAACGAAAUGUCCUGUUUUCCUUUUUGGGCUGUCCCAAACGAAAUGUCCUGUUUCCUUUUUUGGCAAUACACUCUCUCUCUAUACUUAAUAUUUAAAUAAUUUUCACCAACCCACUUUAUCUACUUUAUACACAUUUCUUAAUCUCCGUGCCGAAAAGAAAUGGGACAUUUCGUUUGGGACGGAGGGAGUAUUUGUGUAGGAUGUGGGAUAAGAAAACAAACAUUUAAAGACAUAAAUUUUUGUUAUUCCUCCAUUUAGAGGGAUAAAAAGCAAACACACCUUAGAGUCUAAUUACAAUUUAGGCGCAGGCUGUGUGAGAAUUACUUAGUCGAAUAGGAUCCUUAGUAUUUAUAUUUCUCAUGUUCUUGUGUAUUUUUUCACUGAUUCACUAUUGGAUUAACAAGAAUUAUCUUACUUUAAAAAAAAAAAAGAAAUGAUCUUACUUCAUGUAUGGUAUGCCAACUGUUCGAUAAAGGUCCUUUUAGAAAUAUUCCAUAGAUUACCUUGCAAAGACCACAAAACUAGACACACCCUGCAUAGUUUAUACAUAGGGAUGGCCGAUUGAUGAUCGUCUUAUUUGUAGACUUAACGAGAGCAGACUCGAUCGCUUAGUCCUUACUGAUUUACGACACACAUGCACACAUACACAGAUACACACAUCACAAAAUCACGCAAAUUGACGGAUAAUGUUGCCGGCCAGCUCCUUCCUGCUCCACGCCACGGCAUUUUUCUGCACCAUGGUGGCCGUGAAAUACCACGAGACGAUGUCAUGGGUGGCGACGUGUUGUCCGGUGGCGGCGGAUAGCCCGACCUGAACCUCCUGAGCAACAAAGUAGCUCAAAUCGUACUCAUAGCUGACAUCAAACGUCUGAUUGCCGGCGGUGACUUUGACGGAGAUCAUCCUUGUGGCUCCGACGUAGUUGAUCCGCGCAGUUACCUGCUGCUUGAGUAUGGAGCUGUCGACCGGCGUCGUCUUGCUGGAUACCCUAGAGCCGAAGUCGAUGCCGAUGUGGGGAUAGAGCGGAUCCCACGCGCCGUUGACGUAGGUGUCGAUUUCAACGGCGAAGACCCCGGGGCUGUUGCCGUUGGAGCCAAAGAUUCCGAGAUUGGCUCCGUCGGAGCCAGGGGGGAUGGUGGAGUCGACGGGGGCAAUGAAGAAGGCGAGGCCGUCGGCAGGCUCGUUGUCGGCGCCGGGGGUGAUGAUGAAGUUCACGGUGGUUUCGAAGUCGACCUGCCCAUUGGACAUCCAGAAUUGGACCGGUUCCGAGUACAUGACGCGGCCGACUUGGGACGGUUGUGCGUCUGUGAGGCGGAGGAAGGUGGAGUCCGUCGGGAAAUGGGCGUUGCCUUGAUAGAUGAGAUCUUUCGGCUGGUCGCCCCAGAAGUCGAAGGUGAACGACGUCGUUUGGGACAACGCCGUGUUGGAAACGGCGAGGAGGAGGGCGAUGGAGGCGAGGAGAGGAGUUAAGUUGGCCAUGGCUUAAUAGAUUUAGAUUUAGAGAUGUGGUGGAUGAUGGUGGUAUCGAUCUGUUGCACCUAUUUAUACUAGUAUGGUUCAUGCCUGAUAAUAAUUGUAUCAAUCAAUCAUCGUGCAUCUAUCCCAAAUUAUAUGUC